rnacentral:lncRNA from 1 species
AUGCAAGUCGUAAUGGAGGGCCAGAUCGGAAUGCAGGUGUAGCUGCCCACUUGGUACAGCGGGGUUGAGUGACGUAAAACCAUUCCCACUGCCAUAGGUUGGAAGUUUCCGUGAAGGAGCCCUUUGGCCAAAGAGUAUUGGCAAGCUUGCUCACCAUAGCACCGCUACACUCCGCUUGCUCCUCGUCGACUACCUUCGGCUUCACAUUAAAGGUCUUGAGCCAUGUAACGCCCCAAGACCGAUGUGCCAGGUGUCGUCCAGUUAUUCGUUCUUAUUGCCUUGUCAUUGCUUGCGUGUCUUGCAUUGCAUAUCAUGUCAUCAUGUGCAUUUCAUUUGCAUAUGUGUUCGUCUCAUGCAUCCGAGCUUUUUCCCCGUUGUCUGUUUUGCAUUCCGGCGCUCCAUUCUCCUCCGGUGGUCCUUUCUACCUUUCUUUCAUGUGUGGGGGUUAAAGAUUUCCAGAUUGGACCGAGACUUGCCAAGCGGCCUUGGUUUACUACCGGUAGACCGCCUGUCAAGUUUCGUACCAUUUGGACUUCGUUUGAUACUCCAACGGUUAACCGAGGGACCGAGAAGGCCUCGUGUGUGUUGCAGCCCAACACCCCUCCAAUUUGGCCCAAAACCCACCAAAACCCUCUCCAUCAUCUAGAGCGUUCGAUCACGAUCGGGUGGCUGAAAACCGCACCUCAUUUGGACUCUCCUAGCUCCCUUUACCUAUAAAUAUGUGCUCCCCUCCCGAAAUUCGCGGAUGAACCCUAACCUUCGUCCUCCUUGCGCCGCCGGACACGUCCGCCCAGCGGCCGGACAUGUCCACCCCGCCCGGCCACCUCACUCCGACCUAUCAGCUUCCGCCACGUCACUCCACCGCCGAUUUCCACCAACCAGGCGCCGCCACCUCAUCCGCGCCGACCCUCCUCUCUCUCCUCCCCGUGCCAGGCCCGCCGCAGCCCAUCGCGGACCCGCCCGGGCCCGAGCAGNNNNNNNNNNNNNNNNNNNNNNNNNNNNNNNNNNNNNNNNNNNNNNNNNNNNNNNNNNNNNNNNNNNNNNNNNNNNNNNNNNNNNNNNNNNNNNNNNNNNNNNNNNNNNNNNNNNNNNNNNNNNNNNNNNNNNNNNNNNNNNNNNNNNNNNNNNNNNNNNNNNNNNNNNNNNNNNNNNNNNNNNNNNNNNNNNNNNNNNNNNNNNNNNNNNNNNNNNNNNNNNNNNNNNNNNNNNNNNNNNNNNNNNNNNNNNNNNNNNNNNNNNNNNNNNNNNNNNNNNNNNNNNNNNNNNNNNNNNNNNNNNNNNNNNNNNNNNNNNNNNNNNNNNNNNNNNNNNNNNNNNNNNNNNNNNNNNCGCCCCACCACCGCACGAUGGCUCCGCCUUGCAACGCCUCUGCCGCCGCCAUGGGCGCCCCCGCCACCGCUCGUCGUGGAUCCGGUCGGGCCGGACCGGAUCCGGCCGCCCUCACUUCUCCGACGCUGCCCCACGCCUCUCUGCCUUCUUUCCCAUCUCCAGCGGUCCUCGAAGAAUGUGCCCGAACCCUAGAUCUGAAGUCUGAGAGAGGUUGAUUUUUCCCUAAGUCCCCGAAAUUUCCAUGUUUCAUAUGCCCAUCUUCAUCAUGUCGUACCUUUGCACCCGUAACUUUGUUUUGCGCGUGUAGCAUAUCAAAAUGUUCGCUUCAGAGAGCACAUCAUUUCAUCUCAUUGAAUCAUUUUCAUUUGAGUUCAUCUUGAUACCCGAAAUGCUGUUGGAAGAAUGCUAUUUGAGAUAAUUGUCAGAUCUGCUGCUCCAAUUAGAUAUUUGUCAUUUUUGCCAUGAUUAAUGUGUGCAUAAUAUGCCCCUGAGCUCUACAUGUAUUUUGUUAUAUGCUUUGCCAUCUUUCCAGAGGUACAAUCCAUGUAUUUUUGUGAUGUGUGUGGUGACUAGCACAAGCUUGCAAAGUGGUGCAUUCGUUAAUGCUGAUUUCAGGGACUUAGCAUUUCCACUAAGUCCUUGGACUGUUUAUCUCAUUAUGCCAUAUGUUCAUGUUGUUUCCUAGUGAUCCAUGCCUCUUUUGAGGAUGAUCAGCAAGGAUGUUUUGUUAAUCUUGUAGUGCUCUAUCCAUCCAUGUCCUUGUUUGCAUUUAUGGAGCAGCCUAGCUUGAGUCAAUCGAGCUCUACUUUUGCUAUUUCGUGUAUUUGGGCAGAUUGUCUACUUGUUAGCGAUUUUGCCGAGGAUGUUGUAGUUGAUUCAUGCAUGCUAUGCUAUUGUUCUUGCCAUGUCUAGCUUGUAUAAUGUGUAUUCUUGAUGGUUGUAUGCUUAGAUUGUCAUGCCUUGCUCUGUAGUGAGUGCAUCGAGCUCGUAAACAUGCCUACUUGAUAUCUGUUUCAGCAUGCUCCAACUUUCACUAAGUCUGAGAACUGAUUAUGUUUUUGCCAUGUUCACAUGCUUGCAAUUGUAUUUUCUGAUCCCUUUUGGCUCAAGGUCACUAAGGGACUUUUGUUAAGCUCUUUGAGUAGCUCCAUGCCAUGCUUUACUUUACCAUGUUCAGGCCACGUAGCAUAUAGUUUUCAUGCUGCAAAGUGUGCUAUCUGAUCUGAAAUUCCAGACAAGUGUUAAUUUCACUAAGUCUGAGAUCUGUUUACAAAAUGCACUUUUGCCAUGCUUGUUUGAACCUGUUAAUGGAUGAAUUGGCGGUAGCUGAGUGUUCAUCUUUUGUUAAGCAUCAUGAGUGGGUCCCUGCCAUGUAUUUUGAUGCCAUGUUUGGGUGUUGUAGCAUGUUCAUCUUGUUGCAUUUAGAUGGCUACUUGUUGUAUAUCGCAGAACGUGGCCAUAUUUGAAUUGCUUGCCAUUUCCAAACCGUAACUCCGAUUCCGGUGAUCUUUAUAUCGUUUUCAAGCGAUUUCAUCUCAUAUUUCCAGUGGCACACUUGGAUUUCCAAGUUGAGGCCAGGUUCAUGCAUUCCUUGUCAAAUCAUGCAUAUGCAUCGCAUACCGCAUCCCGCAUAUCAUACCAUGUUCAUGUGUUGGUUGUUUACUAUGUUGUAUGCUUCCUUCCGUGUUCGCUUCUUCGGGUUGGUUCCGGUAUCGUCGCGUUUGUGAGGACCCGUUCGUCUACGUCCGUUUGUCUUCUUCAUGGACUCGUUCUUCUUCGUUGCGGGAUCUCAGGCAAGAUGAUCAUACCCUCGAAAUCACUUCUAUCUUUGCUUGCUAGUUGCUCGCUCUUUUGCUAUGCCUAUGCUGCGAUACCUACCACUUGCUUAUCAUGCCUCCCAUAUUGUUGAACCAAGCCUCUAACCCACCUUGUCCUAGCAAACCGUUGAUUGGCUAUGUUACCGCCUUGCUCAGCCCCUCUUAUAGCGUUGUUAGUUGCAGGUGAAGAUUGGAGCUUGUUCCGUGUUGGAACAUGGAUAUAUUUUGUUGGGAUAUCACAAUAUCUCUUAUUUAAUUAAUGCAUCUAUAUACUUGGUAAAGGGUGGAAGGCUCGGCCUUACGCCUGGUGUUUUGUUCCACUUUUGCCACCCUAGUUUCCGUCAUAUCGGUGUUAUGUUCCCGGAUUUUGCGUUCCUUACACGGUUGGGUUAUAAUGGGAACCCCUUGACAAUUCGCCUUGAAUAAAACUCUUCCUGCAAGGCCCAACCUUGGUUUUACCAUUUGCCACCUAUCCUUUUUCCCUUGGGAGUCGCGCAUCCCGAGGGUCAUCUUUAUUUUAAANNNNNNNNNNNNNNNNNNNNNNNNNNNNNNNNNNNNNNNNNNNNNNNNNNNNNNNNNNNNNNNNNNNNNNNNNNNNNNNNNNNNNNNNNNNNNNNNNNNNNNNNNNNNNNNNNNNNNNNNNNNNNNNNNNNNNNNNNNNNNNNNNNNNNNNNNNNNNNNNNNNNNNNNNNNNNNNNNNNNNNNNNNNNNNNNNNNNNNNNNNNNNNNNNNNNNNNNNNNNNNNNNNNNNNNNNNNNNNNNNNNNNNNNNNNNNCUGGUUUUAGUUGUACGGAUUGCUUAUCCGGUGUUGCCCUGAGAACGAGAUAUGUGCAGCUCCUAUUGGGAUGUCGGCGCAUCGGGUGGUCUUGCUAGACUUGUUUUACCAUUGUCGAGGAUGUCUUGAAGAACCGGGAUACCGAGUCUGAUCGGAAUGUCUCGGGAGGAGGUCUAUUCCUUCGUUGACCGUCAGAGCUUGUCAUGGGCUAAGUUGGGACACCCCUGCAGGGAUUUGAACUUUUGAAAUCCGUGCCCGCGGUUAUGGGCAGAUGGGAAUUUGUUAACGUCCGGUUGUAGAAAACCUGAAGUCGACCUUAAUUAAAAUGAAUCAACAGUGUGUGUAACCAUGAUGGUCUCUUUUCGGUGGAGUCCGGGAAGUGAACACGAUGUUGGAGUUAUGCUUGACGUAGGUUGUUUAGGAUCACUUCUUGAUCAUACUUUCUCGAACAUGCUUUGCCUUCUCUUCUCGCUCUCAUUUGUGUAUUGCGUAUGUUAGCCACCAUAUAGGCUAGUCGCUUGCUGCAGCUCCACCUCAUACCUUUACCUUACCCAUAAGCUUAAAUAGUCUUGAUCAUGAGGGUGCGAGAUUGCUGAGUCCCCCUGACUCAUAGAUACUUCCAAAAUGAGCUUGCAGGUGCCGAUGAGUCCGUGCCGACGAUGCAACCAAGCUCAAGGAGGAGCUCGAUGAAGAUCUUGUCCUUUGUUUUGUUUUGUUCUAGUUGAUCAAUAGUGGAGCCCAGUUGGGGUCGAUCGGGGACCGUGUCGCAUUUGGGGUUCUUUUUUUAUUUUGGUUUCGUAGUCGGACCUUGAUUGUAUUUGGAUGAUGUAAUGCUUUAUUCAUGUAAUUGUGUGAAGUGGCGAUUGUAAGCCAACUAUGUAUCUCUUUCCCUUAUGUAUUACAUGGGUUGCGUGAAGAUUACCUCACUUGCGACAUUGCUUUCAAUGCGGUUAUGCCUCUAAGUCGUGCUUCGACACGUGGGAGAUAUAGUCGCAUCGAGGGCGUUACAAGUUGGUAUCAGAGCCUUCCCCGACCUUAGGAGCCCCAUUGCUUGAUCGUUUUUGGUGGCCGAGUUGUGUCUAGAAAAAUGUUUUGAGUCAUUUAGGAAUUAUAUAUCGGAUAGUUUAGGAAUUCUUUUUACUUCCCAGUCUCCUCAUUGCUCUCGUAAGGCAUCUUGACGUAGAGUUUUGACUCUUCUCUUCUCAAAUUUCACUAAAAAAAAUUUAGGAUCACACGGGUAUCUUGGAAUCGUUCCGAUGGUUUUAUGACGAGAACAUUGUCUUGGUGCCUCCUGUCAGGGGUUUUGUGGAAGUGUCCCGGGGAGUUCAGCUCCGAGGUGUUGUCGUCAUAAUUUUAUCGUUGCAGUUCUGGAAUACCUGAGUUUAGUACGCCGACAUCGAAAAUCUCUUUUAUGCAGUUCGUUGGUGAGAUAACCUCGACGCCACCUAGUACUGGGACGGGAGUUCGGGAGUAUUGCCAUAACUUGUAUAACGGAUGCUUUUCGAAGGUUGAGGUAGACGAUUUCCGAAGGUUUCUUGGUUAUGUGUUGAAGGAUGGAUACAGCUGGAUGUAGGAUUUGCUAGAUUUGGGUGAGAUAUUAUACUUCCCUUGUAUCCCCAACACCUGAUUGCAUAACCGGAAAGGUUCGGGAGUUUCAUAGGUGGGAAUUCAAGUGGCUCUUAGGAUAUCUUUUCGACAGAUGUAUGAUAUGAAAUUGGGGUUUGACGUCUAGUGGUCAGCCUAUUCACGGUCGGUUUUACAAUGGUCUCGUUGUGUCUUAAAGAGUCCUUGGCUAUGCCGACUCGGGGACGCUUCGUAUGCCAUGUGCACUGCCUUGUACAUGAUGGUGCUGUACGAUUGAGCCCGUGUAGGUCCCACCAUGAAAACUUCGGACGAAAUCUCUAUCAUAUGUUUGUUCCAGCUUAUUCUGCAAGCCAAUCCUUUGUUUUGUUUUUGAGUUGUGGUAUUCGAGUUGCUUCGAAGUCAAAUGUUGAUUCCAUACUUUUCCUAAGCGGUGUUCUCAUACUCCUAUGCGGAUACUAAUCCUUCAUGAGCAUCGAGAUUGUCAUGUAAAUCCUUUUCAACCGGUGUGGUUCUCUUCAAGUGGGUCAAAUCUUGUCAAUUUUCACAAGAUCAAUUAUCAGUCCUUCUCAACAUUGUUUGUUUCAUCUGUCCUCAAGUUGCCUUUCUUUUUCCCACCCACCCACCCCUUUUUCUUCAAGGAUUCAGAUUUCUUAAUCACUAUCCAUUUUAUUGAUGGAAGUCCCUCCGUUCUAUUUCAUUCAUGUUCUUAUCCGGUGAUUCUCAUGAAGAUACUAACGGAGCUUCUAGUUCAUCAUUCUUCGUUUCUUUUAUCUUCUCCGGUGGUUUCAAGUCAAGCUUUGUUGAUCUUACCCUUUCCUCAUUUCAAUGCCUUCUCAUACUGGUGCACCUCAUAAUAAUUCACUUCUCACUAUUCUUUUGUUCCGGCAUGCUCAAGCUUUCUCAAAAGGCUCAUCUUGUCAUUCAAGAUCCGUUCAACCUAGUUCGAGGUUGUUAUCUUAUUCAAGACAUUUAAUUCAACCAGUGCAAUAUCUCUUUUCAAGUAAUCGUUCAACGGUGUUUCUUUUGAGUGGACCCUAACCCAUAGGUCUUUUCCCAGGAUCUUACCUGACUCUUCUUAUUUCCCGGAGAUAUCCUUAAAGUUCUUGUCAAAGUUUGGCGUAAGAAUGAAUUAUCAUCAGUCAAAUGUAUUUCUCCAAGAUCUUUCAAAUUCUUUUCAUCGUUGGCUCAACCUUUCUAAUUUUCAUUCAGGAGUAUCUCAACAAUUCUUGGUGGUGUUUUCUCGUCGUCACGCUCAACAUUUCAAGACCGAAGAAGACUUUUUUUCCUCUCAAUCUUGGUCCGUUCUCUUCAAGAUUCAUGAUUCUAGCUUGUUGCCAUCCUCUCAUAAUUGUUUUCGAUUGUGAGAAUUCUUUCCACCUAUCUGGAGCAAUUCAAGAGUCUAUUCAGUUUGAUUAUCCGGAGCCCAUCAUCUAAGAUUUAUUCAUUCCAGCUUUCAGCUCUCAUACUCUAAAUUAUACUGGUGUCUAAAUCAAGGAUUCUCUAAUCAGCUCGUAAUCUCUUCGUUUUCAUGGAUCUAAAUUCACUCAAGCAUCUUCGUUCAUUUGCUAAUUCUUCCCGGUGUUUCUUUAUCUUUACUCCGUUCAUUUUCAAUUCUUAUGGUGAUUCGUUCAAGAGUUUUUCUUCCUUCGUGUAUCAUAUCUAUGCAUUCGUGCUUUUCAAAUUCUACCGGUGGUUCGUUGAAGACCUUCUCAAGUUUGCGCUAUAUCUAUCUUAAUCUUUCCAUGAGGAUAAGUAGUAUGCUAAAUCCGUUGCUUGUCAGCAAUUAAAUUGUUGAAGGAUACGCAUAAUGUAAUCCUUAUUCUUAUUUCAUCCAAGUGAUUAAUUCCUUAUUCCGGAGGUUCAUCAAAUUCUCGAUUCAAGUUGUCCAUCUUUCUUUCCGGAGCUCAAAGUUAUUUCAAUUAUCAUUCCAAAGAUCCAUCAAAUCAUUGCAAGGAUUCACCUUGUGUUUUCGACCUCUCUUUCCUUUCGUUUGAUCAUUCUUUUCUUACCGGAGUUCUUCAUGGAGACUCUACAUGAUGGUUCAUAAAGGAUUUAAUUCCUUCUCGAAGCGUUCAUCAACAUUCUUUUCAGAGGAGCUCAAGCUUUCUUCAUAUUGUAAUCCGGAGUGCAUUUCUGUCUACUGUAUCAUUGGAGGUGGUAUUAUGUCAUUCUUGAUAAUUUGAGUUCAUGUUUUCAUGAUUCACAUGUUGUCAAGAUUGGGAUAUUUUAGAUCUGUCAAUCUCGUCAUUGGAGCUAUCUUGGGUUAUAUUUCACCUAAAGCUUUCGCUAAGGGUGGUUGCUAUCUACGGUGCUUACCAAUGACCAAGUUCUUCAUUUAUCCUCCCGGUGAAAUAAGUUUUCUCGUCUCCUCGUUCAUAUCAAUCCAAUUCUUUUUCCCGUGAGUGGCAGGUUGUCACCUCGUAAUUUGAGAUGUAUUCCAUAAGACCAUAUCAAGCUUAUUCUUUUUGUUGUUGGUUUUCCAACAACUCCGUUCUAACAUUUGUUGUAACUAUGCUCUCUCAAGAUCUUGUUUCCCUUCGUUCCGGAGGCAUUGUGAUGUUGCUCUCUCCAACCCAUCUUCUUGCUUUGUCAAGAUCGUGUUCUUUCCAUGCCUAUCCAUUUAACCGUAGUGUUGUGCCCUUUUGGCACAAGUUCUUUUCGCCUUAUCAAGCCUCGCGUCUCUUUUUAACCGGAGUGCUGUCUAAGAUUUCUCUUACCCCUUGUUCCUUUCAUUCAAUAGUUCUGGAGGCAGUGUGUUGUGAUUUCAUCAAGUAUCUUCUCAUCUUACCAAGUUCUUAUUCAAUUCCUUUUCUUCUCAAUCGGAGUGUUGUUCGAAUUUGUUCUUCCUUGUUCUUUUUUUUCCUAAUGGAGUGCUUUCAACUUCGCUCUUUCUCGUUGCAUUCUUUCUUUAAAUUGUUCAACCUCUCAAGGCUCGUGGUUUCACUCGUUUGUCAAAGAAGCAACUUAGUUAUACCUCUUCUCUUUCUUUUCCGUUGUCCCUCCGGUGCCAUUCUAGAUCUCGGGACAAGAUCCUCUCGUAGUGGUGGAGUGUUGUAACGCCCCGAGACCGAUGUGCCAGGUGUCGUCCAGUUAUUCGAUGUUGUUGCCUUGUCAUUCCUUGCGUGUCUUGCAUUGCAUAUCAUGUCAUCAUGUGCAUUUCAUUUGCAUACGUGUUCGUCUCAUGCAUCCGAGCUUUUUCCCCGUUGUCCGUUUUGCAUUCCGGCGCUCCGUUCUCCUCCGGUGGUCCUUUCUACCUUUCUUUCGUGUGUGGGGGUUAAACAUUUCCGGAUUGGACCGAGACUUGCGAAGCGGCCUUGGUUUACUACCGGUAGACCGCCUGUCAAGUUUCGUACCAUUUGGACUUCGUUUGAUACUCCAACGGUUAACCGAGAGACCGAGAAGGCCUCGUGUGUGUUGCAGCCCAACACCCCUCCAAUUUGGCCCAAAACCCACCAAAACCCUCUCCAUCAUCUAGAGCGUUCGAUCACGAUCGCAUGGCCGAAAACCGCACCUCAUUUGGACUCUCCUAGCUCCCUCUACCUAUAAAUAUGUGCUCUCCUCCCGAAAUUCGCGGAUGAACCCUAACAUUCGUCCUCCUUGCGCCGUCGGACACGUCCGCCCGGCGGCCGGACAUGUCCAUCCCGCCCGGCUACCUCACUCCGACCUAUCAACUUCCGCCACGUCACUCCGUCGCCGAUUUCCACCAACCAGGCGCCGCCACAUCAUCCGCGCCGACCCUCCUCUCUCUCCUCCCCGCGCCAGGCCCGCCGCGGCCCAUCGCGGACCCGCCCGGGCCCGAGCCGUCCACCNNNNNNNNNNNNNNNNNNNNNNNNNNNNNNNNNNNNNNNNNNNNNNNNNNNNNNNNNNNNNNNNNNNNNNNNNNNNNNNNNNNNNNNNNNNNNNNNNNNNNNNNNNNNNNNNNNNNNNNNNNNNNNNNNNNNNNNNNNNNNNNNNNNNNNNNNNNNNNNNNNNNNNNNNNNNNNNNNNNNNNNNNNNNNNNNNNNNNNNNNNNNNNNNNNNNNNNNNNNNNNNNNNNNNNNNNNNNNNNNNNNNNNNNNNNNNNNNNNNNNNNNNNNNNNNNNNNNNNNNNNNNNNNNNNNNNNNNNNNNNNNNNNNNNNNNNNNNNNNNNNNNNNNNNNNNNNNNNNNNNNNNNNNNNNNNNNNNNNNNNNNNNNNNNNNNNNNNNNNNNNNNNNNNNNNNNNNNNNNNNNNNNNNNNNNNNCGCACGCCGGCUCCGCCUCGCAGCGCCUCCGCCGCCGCCAUGGGCGCCCCCGCCGCCGCUCGUCCCGGAUCCGGUCAGGUCGGACCGGAUCCGGCCAUCCUCACUUCUCCGGCGCCGCCCCGCGCCUCUCUACCUUCUUUCCCAUCUCUGGCGGUCCUCGAAGAAUGUGCCCGAACCCUAGAUCUGACAUCUGAGAGAGGUUGAUUUUUCCCUAAGUCCCCCAAAUUUCCAUGUUUCAUAUGCCCAUCUUCAUCAUGUCGUACCUUUGCACCCGUAACUUCGUUUUGCGCGUGUAGCAUAUCAAAAUGUUCGCUUCAGAGAGCACAUCAUUUCAUCUCAUUGCAUCAUUUUCAUUUGAGUUCAUCUUGAUACCCGAAAUGCUGUUGGAAGAAUGCUAUUUGAGAUAGUUGUCAGAUCUGCUGCUCCAAUUAGAUAUUUGUCAUUUUUGCCAUGAUUAAUGUGUGCAUGAUAUGCCCCUGAGCUCUACAUGUAUUUUGUUAUAUGCUUUGCCAUCUUUCCAAAGGUGCAAUCCAUAUAUUUUUGUGAUGCGUGUGGUGACUAGCACAAGCUUGCAAAGUGGUGCAUUCGUUAAUGUUGAUUUCAGGGACUUAGCAUUUCCACUAAGUCAUUGGACUGUUUAUCUCAUUAUGCCAUAUGUUGAUGUUGUUUCCUAGCGAUCCGUGCCUCUUUUGAGGAUGAUCAGCAAGGAUGUUUCGUUAAUCUUGUAGUGCUCUAUCCAUCCAUGUCCUUGUUUGAAUUUUUGGAGCAGCCUAGCUUGAGUCAAUCGAGCUCUACUUUUGCUAUUUCAUGUAUUUGGGCAGAUUGUGUACUUGUUAGCGAUUUUGCCGAGGAUGUUGUAGUUGAUUCGUGCAUGCUAUGCUAUUGUUCUUGCCAUGUCUAGCUUGUAUAAUGUGUAUUCUUGAUGGUUGUAUGCUUAGAUUGUCAUGCCUUGCUCUGUACUGAGUGCAUCGAGCUCGUAAACAUGCCUACUUGAUAUCUAUUUCAGCAUGCUCCUGUUUUCACUAAGUCUGAGAACUGAUUAUGUUUUUGCCAUGUUCACAUGCUUGCAAUUGUAUUUUCUGAUCCCUUUUGACUCAAGGUCACUAAGGGACUUUUGUUAAGCUCUUUGAGUAGCUUCAUGCCAUGCUUUAUUUUUCCAUGUUCAGGCCCUGUAGCGUAUAGUUUUCAUGCUCCAAAGUGUGCUAUCUGAACUGAAAUUCCAGACAAGUGUUAAUUUCACUAAGUCUGAGAUCUGUUUACAAAAUGCACUUUUGCCAUGCUUGUUUGAACCUGUUAAUGGAUGAAUUGGCCGUAGCUCACUGUUCAUCUUUUGUUAAGCAUCAUGAGUGGGUCCCUGCCAUGUAUUUUGAUGCCAUGUUUGGGUGCUGUAGCAUGUUCAUCUUGUUGCAUUUAGAUGGCUACUUGUUGUAUAUCGCAGAACGUGGCCAUAUUUGAAUUGCUUGCCAUUUCCAAACCGUAUCUCCGAUUCCGGUGAUCUUUAUAUCGUUUUCAAGCGAUUUCAUCUCAUAUUUCCAGUGGCACACUUGGAUUUCCAAGUUGAGGCCAGGUUCAUGCAUUCCUUGUCAAAUCAUGCAUAUGCAUCGCAUACCGCAUCCCGCAUAUCAUACCAUGUUCAUGUGUUGGUUGUUUACUAUGUUGUAUGCUUCUUUCCGGUGUUUGCUUCUUCGGGUUGGUUCCGGUAUCGUCGCGUUUGUGAGGACCCAUUCGUCUACGUACGUUUGUCUUCUUCAUGGACUCGUUCUUCUUCCUUGCGGGAUCUCAGGCUAGAUGAUCAUACCCUCGAAAUCACUUCUAUCUUUGCUUGCUAGUUGCUCACUCUUUUGCUAUGCCUAUGCUGCGAUACCUACCACUUGCUUAUCAUGCCUCCCAUAUUGUUGAACCAAGCCUCUAACCCACCUUGUCCUAGCAAACCGUUGAUUGGCUAUGUUACCGCCUUGCUCAGCCCCUCUUAUAGCGUUGUUAGUUGCAGGUGAAGAUUGGAGCAUGUUCCGUGUUGGAACAUGGAUAUAUUUUGUUGGGAUAUCACAAUAUCUCUUAUUUAAUUAAUGCAUCUAUAUACUUGGUAAAGGAUGGAAGGCUCGGCCUUAUGCCUGGUGUUUUGUUCCACUCUUGCCGCCCUAGUUUCCGUCAUAUCGGUGUUAUGUUCCGGAUUUUGCGUUCCUUACGCGGUUGGGUUAUAAUGGGAACCCCUUGACAGUUUGCCUUGAAUAAAACUCCUCCUGCAAGGCCCAACCUUGGUUUUACCAUUUGCCACCUAGGCUUUUUCCCUUGGGAGUCGCACAUCCCGAGGGUCAUCUUUAUUUUAAACCCCCCCGGGCCAGUGCUUGUCUAAGUGUUGGUCCAAACUAGAGCCCCUUGUAGUGCCACCUCGGGGAAACUCGAGGGCUGGUUUUAGUUGUACGGAUUGCUUAUCCGGUGUUGCCCUGAGAACGAGAUAUGUGCAGCUCCUAUCGGGAUGUCGGCGCAUCGGGUGGUCUUGUUGGACUUGUUUUACCAUUGUCGAGGAUGUCUUGAAGAACCGGGAUACCGAGUCUGAUCAGAAUGUCUCGGGAGGAGGUCUAUUCCUUCGUUGACCGUCAGAGCUUGUCAUGGGCUAAGUUGGGACACCCCUGCAGGGAUUUGAACUUUUGAAAGCCGUGCCCGCGGUUAUGGGCAGAUGGAAUUUGUUAACAUCCGGUUGUAGAAAACCUGAAGUCGACCUUAAUUAAAAUGAAUCAACAGCGUGUGUAACCGUGAUGGUCUCUUUCCGGCGGAGUCCGGGAAGUGAACACGGUAUUGGAGUUAUGCUUGACGUAGGUUGUUUAGGAUCACUUCUUGAUCAUACUUUCUCGAACGUGCUUUGCCUUCUCUUCUCGCUCUCAUUUGCGUAUGUUAGCCACCAUAUAGGCUAGUCGCUUGCUGCAGCUCCACCUCAUACCUUUACCUUACCCAUAAGCUUAAAUAGUCUUGAUCGCGAGGGUGCGAGAUUGCUGAGUCCCCGUGACUCACAGAUACUUCCAAAACCAGCUUGCAGGUGCCAAUGAGUCAGUGCCGACGACGCAACCAAGCUCAAGGAGGAGCUCGAUGAAGAUCUUGUCCUUUGUUUUGUUUCGUUCUAGUUGAUCAGUAGUGGAGCCCAGUUGGGGUCGAUCGGGGACCGUGUCGCAUUUGGGGUUCUUCUUUUAUUUUGGUUCCGUAGUCGGACCUUGAUUGUAUUUGGAUGAUGUAAUGCUUUAUUCAUGUAAUUGUGUGAAGUGGCGAUUGUAAGCCAACUAUGUAUCUCUUUCCCUUAUGUAUUACAUGGGUUGCGUGGAGAUUACCUCACUUGCGACAUUGCUUUCAAUGCGGUUAUGCCUCUAAGUCGUGCUUCGACACGUGGGAGAUAUAGCCGCAUCGAGGGCGUUACAAGCCAUAAGCCAAAGUGUGGGGGAAUGCAGAGAAAGGCCUCGCACAUGACAAUGAACGCCAAGAUGUGAAGAAAGGAGUCCGGAACCAGAUCGUGAAAAUCUAGCUUGUAAUAGAACAUGAGACCAUGAACGAAGGGGUGGAGAGCGAACCCUAGCCCCCAGAGGAAGUGGGAGGUGAAUACGACCCUCUCGUCGGAUCUGGGUGUAGGAAUAACAUGCCCCUUAGCCGGGAGCCUGUGGAGGAUUUCCGCGGUCAGGUAUCUUGCCGCCCGGAGCUUCGCGAUAUCCUCCUCUGUGAUAGAGGAGGCUACCAACCGACCUUGAAGGCUGGGUCCGGACAUGAAUGGGAGGCUUGGAGCUAUUAAAUUGAAACCAGGGUGCUAGAGCUCGGGGUUGGAAAAGUUGAGGAAGAGGUGGGCGUAGGGGAGAAGGACGGGUCUGUGCCCCUUUCUAAAGGCGAUGAAGAUUGAACGCCUCCUCAUGAGCCUUAAAACUUGCCUAUUCCCUAGGAAUCAUGCCAAUGGGGCGGUUGGAUUACCCACGCCCGUAUUGAUGAAAAUCCCGCAAUAAUGGGACACGAUCUCUGCUUCGCCAAGAUGUGCCAAUAAAACCGCAUCUUGAAACAUGGAGCGGGAGGCUAAAAACGGUUCAAAAUAAUGACCGGGCAGUGACGUGAUGUCAUGCUACAAAAGUUGUCAGUGGAUUGGACUCGUAAAAUAUUAUACUCUCUGCGGGUGUGUGUGAUACUCGUUUUGCAGAGCCAUACAUGUUUUCUAUGUUUGAAGGCUAUUUUGGAGUAUUCGGAGGAGGAACCCGACUUGCAAUGUCGAAGACAAUCUGCGCGCCGGACACAUUGUCAUUGAAGCCUGGUUUAGGGGCUACUAAGGGAGUCCUGGAUUAAGGGGUCCUCAGCCAUCUGGACUAUUUAACAUGGGUCGGACUAAUGGGAUAUGAAGAUACAAGACAUAAGAUUUCCUCAUGUGUCCGGACGGGACUCUCCUUUGUGUGGACGGCAAGCUUCGCAUUCGGAUAUGUAUAUUCCUUCCUUUGUAAACCGACUCUGUACAACCCUAGGACCCUUCGGUGUCUAUAUAAACCGGAGGGUUUAGUCCGUAGAGGCAAUCAUAAUCAUAUAGGCUAGACAUCUAGGGUUUAGAUAUUACGAUCUCGUGGUAGAUAAACUCUUGUAAUUCAUAUUCAUCAAGAUCAAUCAAGCAGGAAGUAGGGUAUUACCUCCGUCAAGAGGGCACGAACCUGGGUAAACAUCGUGUCCCCCGUCUCCUGUUACCAUCGACCUUAGAUGCAUAGUUCGGGACCCUCUACCCGAGAUCCGCCGGUUUUGACAUCGACAUAGGUCUUUAUGCAUUUGGUAAGAAAAACACUAGAGAAAACAUACCGUCAUCAUGGAGGUGAAGCACCGCCGGGCUCGUGCUGGUACCACCACGUGGAGAACGAUCGUGCGAUGCUUGUCUGGAGACACACUGCACCAAAGAUCAUUUCAAUGUCUCGUUAGCAUGACGAAACUCAAAUGUUAAUACUAGUAACUAAUUACCAUUCAAAUUAAACUCACCAUGGUCCCCGGAGGAAUCUCUGGCAUCGGCGAAGGGGUCUGACCGGACUUCUGGCACACAGACUGCACAUUUGGUUUUCACGGGUCAGUCAUACUAGUUAGUAAUGAAACAAACAUUACGUGCAUGAUUUGGCUAAUAUGCAAGAGAAACUUACAAUGAGGAGCUCAUACGUGGCCCGGUUCUGCAUGUCAUUCCGUGCCCUCUCCUCCUCCAUCAACCUUGCCUUCUUCUCCUCCAACUCUAGCUCCCUCUCUGCCAGAAGCUCCUGGGUUCUACCUCUCUUAGUCUAAAGAGCAGCCUGCAACUCCACUCCUUGUUAGCAUUGUAAUGAUCGAUGGCUACACACAAUGUAAUGCUUGAAAGAAAUUUGAGUCUGUAUAACUAACCUGGAAGGCGAGCUUGAUUGGCCGUGGACGAGGCCUUAUCUCAGGAUCUGAGCUUGUUUGGCGCGCCUUGAUCUCCAGGAGAGUGCGAGGACAAUGGAUAAGUCCAUCUCCAAUGGCUAUCGAGCCAUGGGACCUCCCACCACCAGAUAUCGCCACCAGCUCCGGAUCAAACGGCCCGCUUGGGUUAAAGUCCUCCCCUUUCCUCGCCUUCCCCUCAUCUCUGUACUUCACGAGCUUGUUGUGGGAGGAGAUGUUGAUGAAGUUCUCUAUAUGAUUGAGGUCAGAUGCAGAAAAUGCCUUGGGCUUCUUGAACGGGGCAGUAUGGGCCAUGGCAUAGAGGUCGAACACCUCUGGCACCGGUGCCAUAUUGUAUCCUGCCUAAAAGAGAGGAACAUAGUAUUAGUAAUUAAAGGGCUCACGAUAGCAUGAUAGAAUUAAUUGCAUGAAUCAUGAAGCAAAACACAUACCUAGUUCCGCCCAUAUAGAUAUAAGUUGGUGUUGCCUUGAUGGUGUGGCACACCUCUCAUUUGGGCACGCUUGUCCUUGGCACCUUUGUGGAUGACCCGCCAUGUGUCUGAGCACCACUCAUACACCAACGCCUCCCAACAAUCCAUCUUAUCAGCACACCAUCCCGGGGGCACCUAAGUUAGUAAAGUGAAACUUGAGUGCUACGCCUACAAAUCAAAUCAACGAAACUAAGAAAAAGGCCUUAAGAAUAUAGGCAAUUACCUUCAUGUACUCCUCCUUCUUCAGAAACUUUCCGCGGCACUUCUUCUUGGGCUUCCGAACACCACUCAAGGCGAAGUAUUCUUGAACAGCCUGCACCGGAGCCUCGUGGCGUAAGUUUUGUAGUAGGCAUCUGCACUCGGCAUCGAUAACCCGUGCACAGGCCUCCUUGUAUCCCUCCUCACACCUAUAGAAGGUCUGCAAUCAAACGGGACAACAUUGAUUAGUACAAUAACUAAGCUUAUUUGAAGAUUUUUAAUUGCGUAAAUGAGAAAUUACCCAAAACAUUCUGAUCACCAUGUCGGCCUUUGUGUGGCACAAGACACCAUCGAUGAUCUCCUCCGGCGGGACCGGGGCAGCCAAGUAGUGCUCCCAGGUCAAUCCUAGCUCUGGAAUCUGACCCACCCCGGGAAGUUUUGCCAGCAAGUCACACCAAGGACUUGGUUGGGCCUGCGGACAUACUGAUGGUGGUCCCAACCCCUGCAGUAUGACAAGGCCAACGCAUUAGAUAUUUUGGAAAAACAUCAUGGCAAAAGGUACAAAAAGAGUAAAUGCACUUACCUCGUCCCAUCAGGCCAAAUCAACCACCUUUGUUCGUGGGUCGCCGGCACGGACGGGAGCCGUGUACUACCACGCUCGUAGAUGGUAGCCCCCUCAACCACCUCAUCCUUGCUGCUAUCAGAAAUCAGAUGCCCGCCACCAUCAGCAUGGCCACUCGACCCCUCAGGCGGAUCCUGCCAGGUACCCCAUCCGGACGUCUCCUGGUAUGUAGCCUAGGGCGGAGUCACGUAGGACCAAGUGUCCUGGCCCGAAGUCUCGUGGGCUGAAGAGGAGGGGGCGAAGGCAUGUUGAACCAAGUCUCGUGGACCGGAGUCUUGUGAGCCGAAGAGAAGGGGGCAAAGACCCAUGGACUCGAGGCUCAUGGACCGGAGUCCGCGUAGCCUCCUCCACAGACAUGACCCCCCUAGCAGUCAUGUGCUCGGGAGACUGAGGUGGGGGUGGUGAUGAGGAAGGCAUAGGAUCCUUCCUACCUCUCCCGUGGCCACGUCCUCCCUGGCCUCCUCUCUUCCUCCCUCCCCGACCUCCUCUCCCUGUGGGCAACGACGCCGAUGAAGAAGCGCCCACCGAUGAAGCCAUACCCUCAUACAACGCUCUCCGGAGAGGUACGGAUGGAAUGGAAUUACCACUCCCACCACGUUGAGGACCAGCGCCCACCAUCUUUCAACACCUGUCAUGAUAGAAGAGUAAACAGAAUUAGUACGACAUAAAAAAUUGAAUACUGACAUGAAUAAUAAAAUGUAUAUUAACUCAUGAGUCAGUUAGGGUGAUUCAAGUUUCAACCCCUUGGCGACCCUUGACCCCUCGCCGACCCUCGACCCCUCGGCAACCGUCUACCCCUGACCCCUCGGCGACCCUCGACGCUCGACCCCUCGGCGAACACCUUCACUGUGAGCAUGGUGCGGCUGUUGUCGUAUCUUAAGAUGCAGACGUGCCCUAGCUGAAGGUCAUCAGCGCGGGCGAACUGCUUCCAUCCGUUCUUCAUGCAUGGAUGGAAGCAUUUCACCCAGUCUCAUGACCUUCAACUUGGGGACAUCCUUGUCUUAAGCUACGACACCAGUCGGUCAGCACUCGGACCGAAAGAUCCUUGACCAUCGACCCCUAGACCAUCGACCCCUAGACCCUCGACCCCUCGCCCCCUGGGUGGUCCAGUCGAACACCAUCACUGUGAGCAUGGUGCGGCUGUUGUCGUAGCUUAAGAUGCNNNNNNNNNNNNNNNNNNNNNNNNNNNNNNNNNNNNNNNNNNNNNNNNNNNNNNNNNNNNNNNNNNNNNNNNNNNNNNNNNNNNNNNNNNNNNNNNNNNNNNNNNNNNNNNNNNNNNNNNNNNNNNNNNNNNNNNNNNNNNNNNNNNNNNNNNNNNNNNNNNNNNNNNNNNNNNNNNNNNNNNNNNNNNNNNNNNNNNNNNNNNNNNNNNNNNNNNNNNNNNNNNNNNNNNNNNNNNNNNNNGCUUAAGAUGCAGACGUGCACGAGCUGAAGGUCAUUAGAGUGGGAGAACUGCUUCCAUCCGUUCUUUGCACACGGAUGGAAGCAGUUCACCCAGUCUCAUGACCUUCAACUUGGGGGCCUCCUCGUCUUGAGCUAUGACACCGGUCGGUUAGCACUCGGACCGGAAGAUCCUUGACCAUCGACCCCUCGCCCCUCGAUCCUCGACCAUCGACCCCUAGACCCUCAACGCCUCGCCCCUCGAUCCUCGACCCUCCGCCCCGACCCUCGACCCCUUGGUGACCGGCAAUUCUCGACCCGGUUUGGUCAGCGCCGAUGCACCCCUAACAUCAAACCGGUUCCGUCGGCGCUGAUGCACCCCUAACCUCGACCCGGUUCCUUGUUCUUCUUCUUAUUAUUAUUUUCUUUUUUAUCUUUCUUCUUUCUACUUAACUAAUCCUAAACUAAACUAAAUAUAAACCUAAACCUAAAAAAAGAACAAAAAUCCUAAACUAAACCUAAACCAGACUAAAUCUAAACUAAACUUAAACUAAACAUAAAUCUAAACCUGGACCUAAAAAAUAGAAGAAAAAAAACUAAAUCUAAAUCUAAACUAUAAACUAAACUAAAAAAUAGGGGUAGGCGGCUCNNNNNNNNNNNNNNNNNNNNNNNNNNNNNNNNNNNNNNNNNNNNNNNNNNNNNNNNNNNNNNNNNNNNNNNNNNNNNNNNNNNNNNNNNNNNNNNNNNNNNNNNNNNNNNNNNNNNNNNNNNNNNNNNNNNNNNNNNNNNNNNNNNNNNNNNNNNNNNNNNNNNNNNNNNNNNNNNNNNNNNNNNNNNNNNNNNNNNNNNNNNNNNNNNNNNNNNNNNNNNNNNNNNNNNNNNNNNNNNNNNNNNNNNNNNNNNNNNNNNNNNNNNNNNNNNNNNNNNNNNNNNNNNNNNNNNNNNNNNNNNNNNNNNNNNNNNNNNNNNNNNNNNNNNNNNNNNNNNNNNNNNNNNNNNNNNNNNNNNNNNNNNNNNNNNNNNNNNNNNNNNNNNNNNNNNNNNNNNNNNNNNNNNNNNNNNNNNNNNNNNNNNNNNNNNNNNNNNNNCAGCGUGUGGUCGGGGACAGGUGGCGGUUGGGGGCAGCGGCGGGGUGCGGGGCGGCGGUGUGCGGGAGGGGGCACGGUGGGAGUCGGGGGCGAUCUAACUGGCGGCGCACGGUCGAGGUUAGGGAGAGAGAGAAUAGAGAGAGAGGAGGCAGGGGGAACGACCGUUACAUAGUUUAAUCUUUGUCGUCCACUAGUAGACAACAAAGAUUCUUUGCCGUCCGCUAGCAGACGGCAAAGAGGUGGGGCUGGUGGGCCAUCAGGAUUUGGAGCUCCACUAGGCCCUACCCACCUCUUUGUCGUCUGCUAGCGGACAACAAAGAAUCUUUUCCGUCCGCCAGCGAAGGGCAAAGAUUUGGCUGAUGGCAAAUAGGGCAUUUGUCAUUAGCCCGUUCUUUGUCGUCCCUUUUUUGAAAGCAGGCGGCAAAGACCUUCUUUGUCGUCCGCUAGUAGACGGCAAAGAUCUGACUAAUGGAAAAUUCUCUAUUUCAAGUAGUGGCCACCUCCUCCAUGUCCAGCUCAUGCCUGACGGUCUCCUGGGGAAGGGGUUCCAUGUUGAUGAGGACUUGGCUACCACAGUUACACCCAUAUCCCCUACUGUUUUACCUCUUGGAACAGUUGCUAGAGCUCAGAUACACCAAUUAUAUUAUUAGGUACUUCCGUUUCUUGGUAAUGUUUCUAGUGUUCGUGAGAAUAUGAUGAUGCCUAACUUAGAUACAUUUGUGUUGCUUGCAAUUGAAAGGCCUAGCACGGACAAGAAGGCUGAACAUUGGAGCAUGGUCAAGCACAGAGAUGAAGGUGCGUGCGAAGAGAACAAGAACGGAGGUUCAAGUGGAGAUUUCCGGACUUUGAAGCCACCAUGAUGACAUACAAGAUGAUGGACGAAAUAUACAAGAUGGCCUUUCAUAAAUUUCGUCCAUAGCUUAUUAUUGGUGUUGCGCCACCUUAUUUUGGGCCACGCCCAUGUAAUCUAUUUUUAGAGUCCAUAUUGUAGGGAAAACGACUUAGGAGGUGUUUUACUCCCACCUUGCCAAGGGUGGACAAAAUCCCCUCUCUUUUCCCUAUAAAUAUAGCCCUUAAGGCAUCGUUUAGACUGGGGUUUUAUUUAGUUAAAAGUUAGCCAUCGCUGCAACUUCAUGUACUUCGUUUGUGUCCAACGACCAGACCAAGACCUCUUAUGAAACCCCACUUUUAUCAAUACUUCAUCCAUACUCGCAAUAUUCAGAUUGCUUAAUCAUAUUCUUGCUUGUUCUUCGAUUGCUUGCAGGAAUAGACCUUCGUGGUCAGGUUGAUCAUGCUCCAGCGUGGUCAAUAACCUCUCGGAGUUGGUUUACUGAUUGCUAAGGCGCAACGUCAUGCACGAUUGUAGUCGGGUCGUCAAAGUCGUCUCCACCAAAUCGAUAGUUAUCAUCUCAUCGAAACAUCGGGACACCUUCGCCUCUAUCACAUGUCAUCCAUCGCACCAUACUCGGCAAGCAUCUCGCCAUCCACAUCCGCCAUCUCUUUGGAAAAGGCCGCCACAAGGAGGGCCUAGGCAGUCGUGAUCUAGGCUUGGACGGGCUCCGUCAUGUCAAGGUAUGCGGCGGAGAAACGGAUGGCUGCUUGAACGCUCUCGGUGAUUGCCAAGUCUUCGGCCGUGGGUUGCCGAACGUUGUCGGAGAAGCUUCAUUUGAUUUGUGUGGUGACCGCCAUGAGCUGGGCAUGGGCGGCCUCGACAUGGUAGUAGGCGGACUCCAUGAGGGCUAAGGCCGCCAUUGCGGAACGAACAGCUGUUGUGCCCCACUCACCAGUUGCUAUCCCCGAGGCAGAUGUUGUCGCCGCCACCUGAGAAGCAACUGCGGCCGUUUGGGCUGCCUUGGCCGCCCAGUCAAAGAUUGGGGCCGUGCUCAUGCACCUUGUUAACACGCACUUGGAUGCUGCGGCCAUGCUCUCGCCCGAGUGGGCCACUGAAGUUGCCUCACGACGCGGGUCCAUGUCCCCAUCUUUCACCGGCGAUGAUUGAACAAUGAAAUGAUAUUUGGGGAGCGAGCUAGUGUGCUAGACACGCCGGAUGUGGACUGUAGCCGAUGCACCUUCUCGCGUAAGCCAUAGGCAUACUAUACACGGACGGUGCUCCAAGAUAUUUUGUACUGCAUCUCACAUGGUUGGUGAUAAUAAACUGUGUGGGAUCUGCUUGAUUUUUCAUCUUGAUUUGAAUUACAUAAUGGGGUCACAGCAGCAAUGGAGGGUGUUUGAAUUGCUAGAAAUUUUAUCUGAAGUGAACAUGCAACUAUAUGUGUGUGCUAAAAAAUUGGAAUUAUUCAGGGUUCAUUUGGACAUUUUAUACAUUAAAUUGGUUUUCUAGCCAUUUCAGGUGCAGAAUUCAAAAUUAAACUACAUGCACAUGCUUUAGUGCACCAACAUGGGUUGUAAAAUCAUAUAUGUGUCCAUGGCUUUAUGCUUAUGUACCAUGCAGGAAAUGGGGAUGAAUUUCGAACACCAUGGCACCGUGGCUCUCCGGCAAACGUUGAGGUUCUUGCUUUUAUAAUUCUACUAGUAAAUCCAAAACCCGCCUGAAAUUCAUGAACCUUGGCAUGCUAUCAUGGAAUGGCAUCAACAUGGUGGGGUAAAAAAUAUUGUCCCAUUUCGGGCAGGUUAUGGUAUAAGCUUCUCAAACCUAAGCUUCUCAUAAGAAGCCUCAUGGUUCUGUUAGGGAAACGUGUCACCUUUGUGGACAAAAUGAUAUUAGUCGCAUCUUCUUGCUUUCAAUUUUUUCCUGGUGUCAACAUAGAACAACAUGAAUGUCGUGUUAAAUUUUGGAAUUUUUCAGGGAUCAUUUUGUCGGUGCAACAAACCCUGGGUCUGUUGACCAACAAUGCACAGGCACAAGAUCGAGAUUGAAGCACCAGCUUAAGCCAGAGAUCGAAGAACCAAGAGAUUUGAAGAACGAACAUGCAGCUCAGAUGGACCAAGAUUGAGCCCGAGGGGCAAAGUAUCGGCCAGAGAAAGGCCUCCCUUGCCGGGAAGGCGAGCCCGGCAAGGGGCGAGGCCACGACUAGAAGCAAGCAGCCGAGCCUCCCCAGCAGAACCUACCAGGGCUCGCGGGGGCAGAACCGCCCCACCAACCAGUCAAGCAUGACUCACAUCGUCAAUCAUGUUGGGGAACAUAGUAAUUUCAAAAAAAAUCCUAUGCACACGCAGGAUCAUGGUACUGCAUAGCAACGAGAGGGGAGAGUGUGUCCACAUACCCUCGUAGACCGAAAUAGGAAGCGUUAGCACAACGCGGUUGAUGUAGUUGCACGUCUUCACGAUCCGACCGAUCCAAGUACCGAACGCACGGCACCUCCGAGUUCAGCACACGUUCAGCUCGAUGGCGUCCCAUAAACUCCGAUCCAGCAGAGCUUCGAGGGAGAGUUCCGCCAGCACGACGGCAUGAUGACGGUGAUGAUGAUGCUACUGACGUGGGGCUUCGCCUAAGCACUGCUACGAUAUGACCGAGGUGGAUUAUGGUGGAGGGGGGCACCGCACAUGGCUAAAAGAUCAAUGAUCAAUUGUUGUGUCUCCAAGGGGUGCCCCCUCCUCGUAUAUAAAGGAGUGGAGGAGGGUGAGGGCCGGCCCUCUCUAUGGCGCGCCCUAGGGGAGUCCUACUCCCACCGGGAGUAGGAUUCCCCCUUUCCUAGUAGAACUAGGAGCCCUUCCAAGUAGUAGGAGUAGGAGAGAAGGAAAGGGAAAAGAGAAGAGAAGGAAGGAGGGGGCGCCGCCCCUCCCCCUAGUCCAAUUCGGACUAAGCAUUGGGGGGCGCGCAGCCUCUCCUCUCUCUUUCCCCUAAAGCCCAAUAAGGCCCAUAUACUCCCCGGCGAAUUCCCGUAACUCUUCAGUACUCCGAAAAAUACCCGAAUCACUCGGAACCUUUCCAAUGUCCGAAUAUAGUCGUCCAAUAUAUCGAUCUUUACGUCUUGACCAUUUCGAGAAUCCUCGUCAUGUCCCUGAUGUCAUCCGGGACUCCGAACUACCUUCGGUACAUCAAAACACAUAAACUCAUAAUACAAAUCGUCACCGAAUGUUAAGUGUGCGAACCCUACGGGUUUAAGAACUAUGUAGACAUGACUGAGACACGUCUCCAGUCAAUAACUAAUAGUGGAACCUGGAUGCUCAUAUUAGCUCCUACAUAUUCUAUGAAGAUCUUUAUCGGUCAAAUCGCAUAACAACAUACGUUGUUCCCUUUGUCACCGGUAUGUUACAUGUCCGAGAUUCGAUCGUCCGUAUCUCAAUACCUAGUUCAAUCUCGUUACCGGCAAGUCUCUUUACUCGUUCCGUAAUACAUCAUCCCGCAACUAACUCAUUAGUUACAAUGUUUGCAAGGCUUAUAGUGAUGUGUAUUACCGACUGGGCCCGGAGAUACCUCUCCGAUGAUCGGAGUGACAAAUCCUAAUCUCGAAAUACGCCAACUCAACAAGUACCUUCAGAGACACCUAUAGAGCACCUUUAUAAUCACCCAGUUACGUUUUCACGUUUGGUAGCACACAAAGUGUUCCUCCGGUAAACGGGAGUUGCAUAAUCUCAUAGUCAUAGGAACAUGUAUAAGUCAUGAAGAAAGCAGUAGCAACAUACUAAACGAUCAAGUGCUAAGCUAACGGAAUGGGUCAAGUCAAUCACAUCAUUCUCCCAAUGAUGUGAUCCCGUUAAUCAAAUGACAACUCAUGUCUAUGGUUAGGAAACUUAACCAUCUUUGAUUAAUGAGAUAGUCAAGUAGAGGCAUACUAGUGACACUAUGUUUGUCUAUGUAUUCACACAUGUAUUAUGUUUUCGGUUGAUACAAUUCAAGCAUCAAUAAUAAACAUUUAUCAUGAAAUAAGGAAAUAAAUAAUAACUUUAUUAUUGCCUCUAGGGCAUAUUUCCUUCGGCCUCCCACUUGCACUUGAGUCAAUAAUCUAGUUCACAUCGCUAUGUGAUUUAACACCAAUAGUUCACAUCACCAUGUGAUUAACACUCAUAGUUCACAUCGUCAUGUGACCAACACCCAAAGGGUUUACUAGAGUCUAUAAUCUAGUUCACAUCGCUAUGUGAUUAACACCCACAGAGUACUAAGGUGUGAUCAUGUUUUGCUUGUGAGAGAAGUUUAGUCUACGGGUCUGCCACAUUUAGAUCCGUAUGUAUUUUGCAAAUUUCUAUGUCAACAAUGCUCUACACGGAGAUACUCUAGCUAAUUGCUCCCACUUUCAAAAUGUAUCCAGAUUGAGACUUAGAGUCAUCUAGAUCAGUGUCAAAAUUUGCAUCGACGUAACCCUUUACGACGAACAUUUUGUCACCUCCAUAAUCGAGAAGCAUAUCCUUAUUCCACUAAGGAUAAUUUUGACCAUUGUCCAGUGAUCUACACCUAGAUCACUAUUGUACUCCCGUGCUAAACUCAGUGUAAGGUAUACAAUAGAUCUGGUACACAGCAUGGCAUACAUUAUAGAAAACAUGGCUGAUGCAUAGGGAAUGACUUUCAUUCUCUUUCUAUCUUCUGCCGUGGUCGGGCUUUGAAUCUUAUUCAAUUUCACACCUUGUAACACAGGUAAGAACUCUUUCUUUGAUUGUUCCAUUUUGAACUACUUCAAAAUCUUGUCAAGGUAUGUACUCAUUGAAAAAACUUGUCAAGCGUCUUGAUCUAUCUCUAUAGAUCUUGAUGCUCAAUACGUAAGUAGCUUCACCGAGGUCUUUAUUUGAAAAACUCCUGUCAAAUACUCCUUUAUGCUUUCCAGAAAAUUCUACAUUAUUUCCUGUCAACAAUAUGUCAUUCACAUAUAUUUAUCAGAAAUGUUGUAGUGCUCCCACUCACUUUCUUGUAAUUACAGGCUUCACCACAAGUCUGUAUAAAACUAUAUGCUUUGAUCAACUCAUCAAAGCGUAUAUUACAACUCUGAGAUGCUUGCACCAGUCCAUAGAUGGAUCGCUGGAGCUUGCACAUUUUCUUAGCACCUUUAGGAUCGACAAAACCUUCUGGUUGCAUCAUAUACAACUCUUCUUUAAGAAAUCCAUUAAGGAAUGUAGUUUUGACAUCCAUUUGUCAGAUUUCAUAAAAUUUGGCAAUUUGCUAACAUGAUUUGGACAGACUAAAGCAUCGCUACGAGUGAGAAAAUCUCAUCGUAGUCAACACCUUGAACUUUGUCAAAACCUUUUUCGACAAGUCUAGCUUUGUAGAUAGUAACACUACUAUUAGCAUCCAUCUUCCUCUUGAAGAUCCAUUUAUUUUCUAUGGCUUGCCGAUCAUCGGGCAAAUCAACCAAAGUCCACACUUUGUUCUCAUACAUGGAUCCCAUCUGAGAUUUCAUGGCCUCAAGCCAUUUCACAGAAUCUGGGCUCAUCAUCGCUUCCUCAUAGUUCGUAGGUUCAUCAUGGUCAAUUAACAUGACCUCCAGAACAGGAUUACCGUACCACUCUGGUGCGGAUCUCACUCUGGUUGACCUACGAGGUUUGGUAGUAACUUGAUCUGAAGUUACAUGAUCAUCAUCAUUAGCUUCCUCACUAAUUGGUGUAAGAGUCACAGAAAAAGAUUUUUGUGAUGAACUACUUUCCAAUAAGGGAGCAGGUACAGUUACCUCAUCAAGUUCUACUUUCCUCCCACUCACUUCUUUCGAGAGAAACUCCUUCUCUAGAAAGGAUCCAUUCUCAGCAACAAAUAUCUUGCCUUAGGAUCUGUGAUAGAAGGUGUACCCAACAGUUACUUUUGGGUAUCCUAUGAAGACGCACUUCUCCGACUUGGGUUUGAGCUUAUCAAGAUGAAACUUUUUCACAUAAGCAUCACAACCCCAAACUUUAAGAAACGACAGCUUAGGUUUCUUGCUAAACCACAGUUCAUAAGGUGUUGUCUCAACGGAUUUAGAUGAUGCCCUUUUUAAUGUGAAUGCAGCUGUCUCUAAUGCAUAACACCAAAAUGAUAGUGGUAAAUCGAUAAGAGACAUCAUAGAUUGCACUACAUCAAAUAAAGUACGGCUAUGACAUUCGGACACACCAUUACGCUGUGGUGUUCCAGGUGGCAUGAGUUUGUGAAACUAUUCCACAUUGUUUUAAUUGAAGACCAAACUCAUAACUCAAAUAUUCGCCUCUGCGAUCAGAUUGUAGAAACUUUAUUUUCUUGUUACAAUGAUUUUCCACUUCACUCUGAAAUUCUUUGAACUUUUCAAAUGUUUCAGACUUAUGUUUCUUCAAGUAGAUAUACCCAUAUCUUCUCAAAUCAUCUGUGAAGGUCAGAAAAUAACGAUACCCGUCGCGAGCCUCAACACUCAUCGGACCUCAUACAUCAGUAUGUAUUAUAUCCAAUAAGUCAGUUGCUCGCUUCAUUGUUCUGGAGAACAGAGUCUUAUUCAUCUUUUCCCAUGAGGCAUGGUUCGCAAGCAUCAACUGAUUCAUAAUCAAGUGAUUCCAAAAGCCCAUCAGCAUGGAUUUUCUUCAUGCGGUUUACACCAAUAUGACCUAAACGGCAGUGCCACAAAUAAGUUGCACUAUCAUUAUUAACUUUGCAUCUUUUGGCAUCAAUAUUAUGAAUAUGUGUAUCGCUACGAUUGAGAUUCAACAAACCAUUUUCAUUGGGUGUAUAACCAUAGAAGGUUUUAUUCAUGUAAACAGAAUAACAAUUAUUCUCUAACUUAAAUGAAUAACUGUAUUGCAAUAAACAUGAUCAAAUCAUAUUCCUGCUCAAUGCAAACACCAAAUAACACUUAUUUAGGUUCAACACUAAUCCCAAAAGUAUAGGGAGUGUGAGAUGAUGAUCAUAUCAUUCUUGGAACAACUUCCAACACACAUCGUUACUUCACCCUUAACUAGUCUAUGUUCAUUCUACAACUCCCAUUUCAAGUUACUACUCUUAGCAACUGAACUAGUAUCAAAUACCGAGGGGUUGCUAUAAACACUAGUAAAGUACACAUCAAUAACAUGUAUAUCCAAUAUACCUUUGUUCACUUUGCCAUCCUUCUUAUCCGCCAAAUACUUGGGGCAGUUCCGCUUCCAGUGACUAGUCCCUUUGCAGUAAAAGCACUUAGUCUCAGGCUUAGGUCCAGACUUGGGCUUCUUCACUUGAGCAACAACUUGCUUGUCGUUCUUCUUGAAGUUCCCCUUCUUCCCUUUGCCCUUUUCUUAAAACUAGUGGUCUUGUUAACCAUCAACACUUGAUGUUUUUCUUGAUUUCUACCUUUGUCGAUUUCAGCAUCACGAAGAGCUUGGGAAUCAUUUCCGUUAUCCCUUGCAUAUUAUAGUUCAUCACGAAGUUCUAGCAACUUGGUGAUAGUGACUAGAGAACUCUGUCAAUCACUAUCUUAUCUGGAAGAUUAACUCCCACUUGAUUCAAGUGAUUGUAGUACUCAGACAAUCUAAGCACGUCCUUACUGCUUGAGCUAUUCUCCUCCAUCUUGUAGGCAAAGUAAUGUCAGAGGUCUCAUACUUUAAUGCCCUCGAUGCGGCUAUAUCUCCCACGUGUCGAAGCAUGACUUAGAGGCAUAAUCGCAUUGAAAGCAAAGUCGCAAGUGAGGUAAUCUUCACACAAUCCAUGUAAUACAUAAGGGAAAGAGAUACAUAGUUGUCUUACAAUCGCCACGUCACACAAUACAUGGAUACAACAUUACAUCAACCAGAUACACACAAGGUCCGGCUACGGAACCAAAAUAAAAGAAGACUACCCCAAAACUACACAGAUCCCCGAUCGUCCCGACUAGGCUCCACUACUGACCAACUGGAAACGGAAACAACAUAACGAACACAAUCUUCAUCGCGCUCCUCCUUGAGCUCAAUUGCGUCACCUGCACGUUAUCAUCGGCACCUGCAAGCUAGUUUUGGAAGUAUCUGUGAGUCACGGGGACUCAGCAAUCUCACACCCUCGCGAUCAAGACUAUUAAGCUUAUGGGUAAGGUAAAAGGUAUGAGGUGGAGCUGCAGCAAGCACUAGCGUAUAUGGUGGCUAACAUACGAAAAAGAGAGCGAGAAGAGAAUGCAAGGCACGGUUAAGAAACUAUGAUCAAGAAGUGAUCCUAGAACAACCUACGUCAAGCAUAACUCCAACACCAUGUUCACUUCCCGAACUCCGCCGGAAAGAGACCAUCACGGCCACACAUGCUAUUGAUGCAUUUUAAUUAAGUUAAGUGUCAAGUUCUCUACAACCGGACAUUAACAAAUUCCCAUCUGCCCAUAACCGCGGGCACGGCUUUCGAAAGUUCAAAUCCAUGUAGGGGUGUCCCAACUUAGCCCAUCACAAGCUCUCACGGUCAACGAAGGAUAUUCCUUCUCCCAGGAAGACCCGAUCAGACUCGGAAUCCCAGUUAUAAGACAUUUCGACAAUGGUAAAACAAGACCAGCAAAGCCACCCAAAUGUGCCGACAAAUCCUGAUAGGAGCUGCACAUAUCUCGUUCUCAGGGCACACCGGAUUGUCCAAGGUUCUGGUAGGCCAGCACAUAGUUGCCCCUGGUGGCCACCGGCAGCUGACAGGUUGGAUUUAAUGCCCUCGAUGUGGCUAUAUCUCCCACGUGUCGAAGCACGACUUAGAGGCAUAACCGCAUUGAAAGCAAUGUCACAAGUGAGGCAAUCUUCACACAACCCAUGUAAUACAUAAGGGAAAGGGAUACAUAGUUGGCUUACAAUCGCCACUUCACACAAUACAUGAAUAAAGCAUUACGUCACACAAAUACAAUCAAGGUCCGACUACGGAACCAAAAUAAAAGAAGAACCCCAGAUGCGACAAGGUCCCCGAUCGACCCCAACUGGGCUCCACUACUGAUCAACUAGAACGAAACAACGCAAAUGACAAGAUCUUCAUCGAGCUCCUCCUGAGCUUGGUUGCGUCAUCUACACGGUCUCAUCGGCAGCUGCAAGCUGGUUUUGGAAGUAUCUGUGAGUCACGGGGACUCAACAAUCUCGCACCCUCGCGAUCAAGACUAUUUAAGCUUAUAGGUAAGGUAAAAAGGUAUGAGGUGGAGCUGCAGCAAGCGACUAGCAUAUAUGGUGGCUAACAUACGCAAAAGAGAGCGAGAAGAGAAGGCAAGGCACGGUCGAUAAAACUAUGAUCAAGAAGUGAUCCUAGAACAACCUACAUCAAACAUAACUCCAACAUCGUGUUCACUUCCCGGACUCCGCCGGAAAGAGACCAUCACGGUUACACACGCGGUUGAUGUAUUUUAAUUAAGGUCAACUUCAGGUUUUCUACAACCGGACAUUAACAAAUUCCCAUCUGCCCAUAACCGCGGGCACGGCUUUCGAAAUUUCAAGUCCUUGCAGGGGUGUCCCAACUUAGCCCAUCACAAGCUCUCACGGUCAACGAAGGAUAUUCCUUCUAGCGGGAAGAUCCGAUCAGACUCGGAAUCCUGGUUACAAGACAUUUCGACAAUGGUAAAACAAGACCAGCAAAGCCGCCCGAUGCGACGACAAAUCCCGAUAGGAGCUGCACAUAUCUCGUUCUCAGGGCACACCAGAUAGGUCAAGCUACGCGUAAAACCAACCCUCGAGUUGCCCCGAGGUGGCCCCGCAGGCUGCCCGUUUCGGACCAACACUCAGAGGAGCACUGGCCCGGGGGGUUUAAAAUAAAGAUGACCCUCGGGGUUGUGAAAACCCAAGGUAAGGUUAUAGGUUGUUAGCGCAAAUGGUAAAACCAAGGUUGGGCCUUGCUGGAGGAGUUUUAUUCAAGGCAAACUGUCAAGGAGUUCCCAUUAUUACCCAGCCGCGUAAGGAACGCAAAAUCCGGGAACAUAACACCGAUAUGACGGAAACUAGGGCGGCAAGAGUGGAACAAAACACCAGGCAUAAGGCCGAGCCUUCCACCCUUUACCAAGUAUAUAGAUGCAUUAAUUAAAUAAGAGAUAUUGUGAUAUCCCAACAAAAUAACCAUGUUCCAAACAUGGAACAAGCUCCAAUCUUCACCUGCAACUAACAACGCUAUAAGAGGGGCUGAGCAAAGCGGUAACAUAGCCAAACAACGGUUUGCUAGGGCAAGGUGGGUUAGAAGCUUGGUUCAACAAUAUGGGAGGCAUGAUAAGAAAGUGGUAGGUAUCAUAGCAUAGGCAUAGCAAAAGAGCGAGCAACUAGCAAGCAAAGAUAGAAGUGAUUUCGAGGGUAUGGUCAUCUUGCCUGAAAUCCCACAAGGAAGAAGAACGAGUCCAUGAAGAAGACAAAUGGACGGAGUCGAACGGAUCCUCACAACUCCGGAACGGAACCGAAGCUAACGCGAGAAGCAUCCCGGAAAGAAGCAAACAACAUAGUAAACAACCAUCACAUCAACAUGGCAUGAUGCACAACCAAGUAUGAUGCAUGUACGGUUUAAUGAAGCAUGGCAUGGCAAAGUGCACAAACAAAACUACAAAUUAAGUGGAGCUCAAUAUGCAACUCGUUGCAUAUUGACGGAACACCACAUCAAUUAUUUAGUUCUCUCUCGUUUAGGUACCCAAAAAUAUUAAAUGUUGUUAAACAUGGCAAGAGAUGAGGCAUAACAAAACUACACCAUCUAAACAAUUUAAAUGGGGCCGGAUAUAACAAAUAACGAAUCCGGUAAAUCCCCAUAUGCAUUUAGAAAUUUGGUGCAACAACAAUUUUAAACAUUUUAAAUGUUGUUAUCAUGAUGCGGAGGACAUGUUCAAGAUUAUGCAAUUUUAAUGAAAAUGUUGAUAAGAGCAUUAUGAAGCAUUUUGUCAUCAUGGCAGAAACGAAAAGGGGUGCCACGACAACGAUAAUAAUAACGGUGCCACGGCAACGUUCCGGUUCCGGUACUUGAUUGAGAUACCGAUGCAAAGGGGAAGUGUGCGGAUGCGUGCAAAAGAUGGUGGGGCGCUCCCGGGUUCCGGGUGUCCCACGAGGUGGCGACAAGGAAACGACUGACAAUUUGGACACGGUGCAAACAUGACCAUCCCAAACAUCGCAAGCAUUCUUUCACGGACGUCGUCUUGGGGUUAUACCUUCGAAGCGUGCAAUCGGGAUGGUUCAGGUUCGUCGAGGGAAGUAGAGGAAGUAGUUGUACAAUUGGACCACGGUGAGGGUAGUUGUACAUGUAGGCGGUAGACGAACUUGACGGUUCCGUUACCCGGUUCCUUGGAGAGGGAAGUAGUCGUACAUGUUCCGUAGAUGUUCAUGUCAUCGGUGUCAUGGUACUUGGGGUCUUCACAGUCUCCGGUCCCGUUCUUGCGACGGCAGUCAUUCAAGUUUGUUCGGAGAGGUACUAGACGCACCCCGGAUCUGUAGUCGUACAUGCACGUAGAUGAACUUGGCGGGUCCUCGUCGUCCUAGUACUUGGUGUUAUUUCUGGUUCGGGGAACGUUUUAGGUGUCGGGCAUCAAGGUCUCCGGCCGUAGUGGUACUUGGUGAAUCCCGAAACGGUCUUGGCGUCUUCGCGCGUAGGGGUACUUGUUCGUUUACUUCACGGUCUUGGCGGAUCCACGUGAUGGUAGUGGUACUCGCGAAGAGGUACACGACGGUCAUCAUGUAGAUGUUCACGUGUCUUCGGCGACACCAGGAUGCAUCUUGGCCGUCUCGUCUCGGUCUUCAAUCCAAAACGAAGCAAGGCAAAAACUCGGGGCGGUGGUACUCGACUCGGGCAGGGGCAGCGCUGGGGAUGACGAGUUGCUGCUGAGCAGGGGAAAUCGACGCGGGGCUGCAGCAGAGGGACUCAGGUGAACUUGCCAGGUCAAGGCGAGGUCACCGGCAGCAGGGGUUGUGACACGAGCGGCGGCCUCCUGCUGGUCGCGGAAGGCGGUGUUGCAAAAGGGGCAGCGGCAGCAGGGCUCGGGAUCCCACAUCCAGAUCGAGCGGGGUGAGGGAGCUGCGGUCGGGAGGCUCGGGCGAAGGGCAGAGAGGAGUGACAAGGCGGGGCAAGGGCCGGCGACGAGGCAAGGCAACGAAGGGAGCCUGCGAGGAAGGAAAGGGAGACGAGCACAGGGAGAUGGGCGGCUCUGGCCGGUCGUCAGGGUCGCGGAGGACGGUGGGGAGGCGUCGCAGGCCUGCUGAUCAGGAGCUCGAGGUGACCGGGUUGGAUAAAGGAGGGCAGGUAGGGAGGACGAGGGGGAGAGGGAAAGAGGUAGCUGCGCUGUGAACCAGGGAGGACAACGACUGCGGGCGCGGGGCCUCGCUCCUCCCCCUGGCGAUGCAAGGAAGAAGGAGGGGAUCGAGGGUGAUGGCUUCUGGCGGCGGCGAUGGGAACGAGGAAAAGAGGGAGAGAGGCUGCGAGGGAGAUGGGGGAGUCGGGCUAGGUUUAGAGCAGUUAGCUGGGCCGGCUGGAUGGGCCUAAGUGGCCAGCUAGGUUGGGCCUCUCUUUUCCCUCCCCUACUCUCUUUUAAAAGCAGAAAAGCAAGGAAAGAAAGGAAGAGAAAAAUAAAUGAGUGGACAACAAUUUGGGCAUGGGGAUAAUUUUCCCGAACUCACAAAAAUACGCUUGUUUCGAGAAAAUAUAAAAGGCCAAGAUUGGAAGAUGUAAAUUCAAACUCAUUUGAAUUUAAUUCAAAUGGGUUUGAACUAGGACUAGGUUUAGGAAGUGUCCAAAAACGUUGAUAAUUUAGGUGGAGCUCCCGAAAAUGACGAAUGGAUAUAUGGGCAAAGUUUGGAGACCAAGAAUUGAGAUAACAAAGGCAUGGGAUAUUUGCAAGUGUGUUAUGGUUAAUUCCAAAAGAAUGGAAUAUUUAAUAAUAGCUCCAUAAUUAUUAGGAGGAUAUGUUAUAUAGAGAAAUCACCAGGUGAACUCCCUCGGUUUAAAUGGAUUGAAAAUCCAUACGAUUUAUUUAUUUGAUUUGAGAUGCAAAGAUUAAAGACAUGAUGAUAUGAUGCAAAUGCUCAUGAUGCAAAGAUGAAAACGAUGAACCAAACAAAUCACACGACGAAACCCGGAAACCCUGGAAGGCAUCUGAAGCUCCGGUCUUGGGGCGUCACAACACUCCACCACUACGAGAGGAUCUCGUCCCGAGAUCUAGGAUGACACCGGAGGGAAACAAAAGAGGAGAGAAGAGGUAAAACUAAGUUGCUUCUUUGACAAACAAGUGAAACCAGAGAACCUUGAGAGGUUGAACAGAUUGAAAGAAAGAAUGUCAUGAAGAAGAACAAAGUUGAAAGCACUCCGGUAGGAAAGAGUAACAAGGAAGAAACAAAUUCGGACAGCACUCCGGUUGAAAAGAGAUGCAAGGCUUGAUAAGGCGAAAAGAACUUGAGUAGAUGACACAACACUCCGGUUAAAAGAAGACAGAGAAGGCAUAAUAAUGAUAUAAUUUGGAGAGCACUCCUGUAGAAAAGAGAAGAAAGCUUGAUAAGAUGAAAAGAAAUUGAAGGGAUGACACAACACUCCAGUUGAAUGAAUUAGCAAAGGAAAGAACAUGAUCUUGACAAAACAAGAUGAUGGGUCGAAGAGAGCAACAUCACAAUGUCUCAGGAAGAAAGAAAUAGACGAUAGAUAAAUGAAAAAGAAGGAAUUGAGAAGAAAAUGACAACUUCUGCCACAAAUGAUCUUGGAAGGCACCCUUCCAAGAAGGUUAAAACGGAGUUGUUGGGAAAGACCAACGACAAAACGAAUAAGUUUGUAGUGGGCUUAUGGAAAAACAUCUCAAAACUACGAGGUGAAAUUUUGCCACUAACGGAAACGAUAAAUUGGAUUGAUAUGAACAAGGAGACGAGAAGAUUAUUUCACCAGGAGGAUAAACGAAGAACUUGGGUCAUUUAUGAGCACCAUAAUAGCAACAAUCCUUAGGGAAAGCUUUAGGUGAAAUAUAACCCAAGAUAACUCCAACGAAGAGGUUGAUGAAUUUAAAACAUCUCAUUCUUAACAACAUGUGAAUCAUGAAACAUGAACUCAGAUUAUCAAGACUGACAUAAUACCACCUCUAAUGAUACGGUAGAAAGAAUUGCACUCCGAAUUGCAAAACGAAGAAUGAUUGAGCUCCUCUGAAAAGAAUCUUGAUGAACACUUGGAGAAGGAAUUAAAUCCUUGGUGAACCAUCAUGUAGAACCUUCAUGAAGAACUCCGGUAACAAAAGGAUAACGAAAAGAAAGAGAAGUUAAAAACAUGAGGUGAAACCUUGCGAUGAUUUAGAUGGAUCCUCGCUACGAGACAAAAGAUAGAUCUUGAAACUCCGGGAAAAUAAAAGAUGAAACAAUUUUAAUCAAGAAGUUGAUGAGUCUCCGGAAUAGGGAAUUAAUCACUUGGGUGAACCAAGAAUAAGAAUUACGUUAUGCGUAUCCUUCACCAAUUUAAAUUGAUGACAAGCAACGGAUUUGACAUACUACUUAUUCCCGUAGAAAGGACUAAGAUAGAUAUUGCGCAAACUUGAAGAGGCCUUCAACGAACCACCGGUAGGAUUUCAAAGAACGAAAUAAUGGAUAUGAUAACGAAGGAAGAAGAAUCUUGGAAGAACCACCAUAAAUUGAAAACGAUUGAAGAAAAAAAGGAUGAAUCGCCGGUAAGGAUUAGCAAAUGAACGAAGGUACUUGAGACAAACUAGAUACAUGAGAACGAAGGGAUUACGAACUGAUUAUAGAUCACUUGAACGAUGCACCGGUAAGAUUUAGAGAAAGAGAGCUGAAAGCUGAGAAUGAAUAAUCCUGAACUGAUGGACUCCGGAUAAUCAAACUGAGAAGACUCUUGAAUUGCUUCGGAUGGGUGAAAAGAAUUCUCACGAUCGAAAACAAUUAUGAGAGGAUGGCAGAAGUCUAGCAUCAUGAAUCUUUGAGAGAACGGAUAAGAUUGAGGAGAAACUCUUCUUCGGUCUUCAAAAAUUGGAAAAGACGAUGAGUAACACCACCGUGAAUUGUUGAGACACUCCGGAAUAAAGAAGAAUAGAAAAGUUGAACCAAUGAUGAAAAGAAUUUGUAAGAUCUUGGAGAAAGACAUUCGACUAAUGAUAAAUCAUUCUUACGUCAAACUUUGAAAAGAAAUUUUAGGAUAGCUCCGGGAAAAUAAGAAGAGUCAGGUAAGAUCCUGGAAAAGACCUGUGGGUUAGGGCCCACUCAAAAGAUACACCGUUGAAAAGAUUACUUGAAAAGAGAGAUUACACCAGUUGAAUUAAAAUGGCUUGAAUGAGAUACCCAUCUCGAAAGGGCUUGAACGAAUGCAGAGUGGAAACACGAAUCUUCGAGAUAUCUUCAGCACUCCGGAACAACUGAAUAGCGAGAGGUGAAUGAUUAAGAAUUGCACCGGCAUGAGAAAACAUUGAAAUGAGGAAAGGGUAUGAUCAACACCAAAAGGUUGAUUUGAAACCGCCGGAGAAGAGAAGAAACAAAGAAUGAUAACUUGAAGCUCCAUUAGAAUCUUCAUGAGCAUCACCGGGUAAGAACAUGAAGGAAAAGAAUGGAGAGACUUCACAUGAAUCAAAGGAUACUUGAUUAAGAAAUCUGAGUCCUUGAAAAAAACAAAGGGAGGGAGGGUGGGAAAAACAAAGACAAUUUGGAAUGGGUGAAAUGAACACCGUUGAGAAAUUAAGAAUUGAUCUUGCGGAUGUUGAAAUGAUCGGAUCCACUUGAAGAGAAGCACACCGGUUGAACAAGAUUGGCAUAACAAUCUCGAUUAUCAAGAGGGAUUAGUAUUCACAUAGGAGUAUGAGAACACCGUUUAGGAAAGGUAUGGAAUCAACAUUUGACUUCGAAGCAACUCGAAAACCACAACUCAAAACAAACAAAGGAUUGGCUUGCAGAAUAAGCCGGAACAAACACAUGAUAGAGAUUUCGUCCGAAGUUUUCGUGGUGGGGCCUACACGGGCUCGAUCGUACAGCACCAUCAUGUACAAGGUAGUGCACAUGACAUACGAAGCGUCCCCGAGUCAGCAUAGCCAAGGACUCUUUAAGACACAACGAGACCACUGUAAAACCGACCGUGAAUAGGCGGACCACUAGACGUUGAACCCCAAUUUCAUAUCAUACAUUUGUCGGAAAGAUAUCCUAAGAGCUACUUGAAUUCCCACUUAUAAACUCCCAAAAUUUUCCCGGUUAUGUAAUCAGGUGUUGGGGAUACAGGGGAAGCAUGAAAUCUCACCCAAAACUAACAAAUCCUACAUCCAGCUGUAUCCAUCCUUCAACACAUAACCAAGAACCCUUCGGAAAUCGUCUACCUCAACCUUCGAAAAGCAUCCGUUAUACGAGUUAUGGCAAUACUCCUGAACUCCCGCCCCAGUACUGGGUGGCGUCGAGGUUAUCUCACCAACAACUGCAUAAAAGAGAUUUUCGAUGUCGGCGAAACUAAACUCAGGUAUUCCAGAACUGCAACGAUAAAAUUGUUACAACAACAACUCGAAGCUUAACUCCCUGGGACACUGCCACGACCCCUAAAUGUCAGGAGGCACCAAGAACAAUGUUCUCGUCACAAAUCGAUCGGAACGAUUCCAAGAUACCCGCGUGAUCCUAAAUUUUUUUAGUGAAAUUUGAGAAGAGAAGAGUCAAAACUCUACAUCAGGAUGCCUUACCAGAGCGAUGAAGGGACUGGGGAGUAAAAAGAAUUCCUAACUCUCCGAUAUAUAAUUCCUAAAUGACUCAAAACAUUUUUCUAGACUCAACAACACCAGCUAAUUCGAUCAAGCAGGGGGGCUCCUAAGGUCGGGGAAGGCUCUGAUACCAACUUGUAACGCCCUCGAUGCGGCUAUAUCUCCCACGUGUCGAAGCAUGACUUAGAGGCAUAAUCGCAUUGAAAGCAAUGUCGCAAGUGAGGCAAUCUUCACACAACCCAUGUAAUACAUAAGGGAAAGAGAUACAUAGUUGGCUUACAAUCGCCACUUCACACAAUACAUGAAUAAAGCACUACUUCACACAAAUACAAUCAAGGUCCAACUACGGAACCAAAAUAAAAGAAGAACCCCAAAUGCGACAAGGUCCCCGAUCGACCCCAACUAGGCUCCACUACUGAUCAACUAGAACGAAACAACGCAAAGGACAAGAUCUUCAUCGAGCUCCUCCUGAGCUUGGUUGCGUCAUCUGCACGGUCUCAUCGGCACCUGCAAGCUGGUUUUGGAAGUAUCUGUGAGUCACGGGGACUCAGCAAUCUCGCACCCUCGCGAUCCAGACUAUUUAAGCUUAUAGGUAAGGUAAAAAGGUAUGAGGUGGAGCUGCAGCAAGCGACUAGCAUAUAUGGUGGCUAACAUACGCAAAAGAGAGCGAGAAGAGAAGGCAAGGCACGGUCGAUAAAACCAUGAUCAAGAAGUGAUCCUAGAACAACCUACGUCAAACAUAACUCCAACACCGUGUUCACUUCCCGGACUCCGCCGGAAAGAGACCAUCAUGGUUACACACGCGGUUGAUGUAUUUUAAUUAAGGUCAACUUCAGGUUUUCUACAAGCGGACAUUAACAAAUUCCCAUCUGCCCAUAACCGCGGGCAUGGCUUUUGAAAGUUCAAAUCCCUGCAGGGGUGUCCCAACUUAGCCCAUCACAAGCUCUCACGGUCAACGAAGGAUAUUCCUUCUAGCGGGAAGACCCGAUCAGACUCGGAAUACCGGUUACAAGACAUUUCGACAAUGGUAAAACAAGACCAGCAAAGCCGCCCGAUGCACCGACAAAUCCCGAUAGGAGAUGCACAUAUCUCGUUCUUAGGGCACACCGGAUAGGUCAAGCUACGAGUAAAACCAACCCUCGAGUUGCCCCGAGGUGGCCUCGCAGGCUGCCCGUUUUGGACCAACACUCAGAGGAGCACUAGCCCUCGGGGUUUAAAAUAAAGAUGACCCUCGGGCUCGCGAAAACCCAAGGGAAGGUUAUAGGUUGUUAGCGCAAAUGGUAAAACCAAGGUUGGGCCUUGCUGGAGGAGUUUUAUUCAAGGCGAACUGUCAAGGGGUUCCCAUUAUUACCCAACCGCGUAAGGAACACAAAAUCCGGGAACAUAACACCGAUAUGACGGAAACUAGGGCGGCAAGAGUGGAACAAAACACCAGGCAUAAGGCCGAUCCUUCCACCCUUUACCAAGUAUAUAGAUGCAUUAAUUAAAUAAGAGAUAUUGUGAUAUCCCAACAAAAUAACCAUGUUCCAAACAUGGAACAAGCUCCAAUCUUCACCUGCAACUAACAACGCUAUAAGAGGGGCUGAGCAAAGCGGUAACAUAGCCAAACAACGGUUUGCUAGGGCAAGGUGGGUUAGAGGCUUGGUUCAACAAUAUGGGAGGCAUGAUAAGCAAGUGGUAGGUAUCGUAGCAUAGGCAUAGCAAAAGAGCGAGCAACUAGCAAGCAAAGAUAGAAGUGAUUUCGAGGGUAUGGUCAUCUUGCCUGAAAUCCCGCAAGGAAGAAGAAUGAGUCCAUGAAGAAGACAAACGGACGGAGUCGAACGGAUCCUCACAACUCCGGAACGGAACCGAAGCUAACGCGAGAAGCAACCCGGAAAGAAGCAAACAACAUAGUAAACAACCAUCACAUCAACAUGGCAUGAUGCACAACCAAGUAUGAUUCAUGUCCGGUUUAUUGAAGCAUGGCAUGGCAAAGUGCACAAACAAAACUACAAAUUAAGUGGAGCUCAAUAUGCAACUCGUUGCAUAUUGACGGAACACCACAUCAAUUAUUUAGUUCUCUCUUGUUAAGUACCCAACAAUAUCAAAUGCUGUUAAACAUGGCAAGAGAUGAGGCAUAACAAAACUACACCAUCUAAACAAUUUAAAUGGGGCCGGAUAUAACAAAUAAUGAAUCCGGUAAAUCCCCAUAUGCAUUUAGCAAUUUGGUGCAACAACAAUUUUAAACAUUUUAAAUGUUGUUAUCAUGAUGCGGAGGACAUGUUCAAGAUUAUGCUAUUUUAAUGAAAAUGUUGAUAAGAGCAUUAUGAAGCAUUUUGUCAUCAUGGCGGAAACGAAAAGGGGUGCCACGACAACGAUAACAAUAACGGUGCCACGGCAACGUUUCGGUUCCGGUACUUGAUUGAGAUACCGAUGCAAAGGGGAAGUGUGCGGAUGCGUGCAAAAGAUGGUGGGGCGCUCCCGGGUUCCGGGUGUCCCACGAGGUGGCCACAAGGAAACGAGUGACAAUUUGGACACGGUGCAAACAUGAGCAUCCCAAACAUCGCAAGCAUUCGUUCACGGAUGUCGUCUCGGGGUUAUACCUUCGAAGUGUGCAAUCGGGAUGGUUCAGGUUCGUCGAGGGAAGUAGAGGAAGUAGUUGUACAAUUGGACCACGGCGAGGGUAGUUGUACAUGUAGGCGGUAGACGAACUUGACGGUUCCGUUACCUGGUUCUUCGGAGACGGAAGUAGUCGUACACAUUCCGUAGAUGUUCAUGUCAUCGGUGUCGUGGUACUUGGGGUCUUCGGACUCUCCGGUCCCGUUCUUGCGACGGUAGUCAUUCAUGUUUUUUUGGAGAGGUACUAGACGCACCCCGGAUCUGUAGUCGUACACGCAUGUAGAUGAACUUGGCGGGUCCUCGACGUCCUAGUACUUUGCGUUAUUUCCGGUUCGGUGAUCGUUUUAGGCGUCGGGCCUCGAGGUCUCCGGCCGUAGUGGUACUUGGUGAAUCCCGAAACGGUCUUGGCGUCUUCGCGCAUAGGGGUACUUGUUCGUUUACUUCACGGUCUUCGCGGAUCCACGUGAUGGUAGUGGUACUCGCGAAGAGGUACUCGGCGGUCGUCGUGUAGAUGUUCACGUGUCUUCGGUGACACCAGGAUGCAUCUUGGCGGUCUCGUCUCGGUCUUCAAUCCAAAAUGAAACAAGGCAAAAACUCGGGGCGGUGGUACUUGACUCGGGCAGGGGCAGCGCUGGGGAUGAUGAGUUGCUGCUGAGCAGGGGAAGUCGACGCGAUACUGCAGCAGAGGGACUCCGGUGAACUUGCCGGGUCAAGGCAAGGUCGCCGGCAGCAGGGGCUGCGACACGAGCGGCGGCCUCCUACUGGUCGCGGACGGCGGCGUUGCAGAAGGGGCAGCGGCAGCAGGGCUCGGGAUCCCGCGUCCAGAUCGAGCGGGGUGAGGGAGCUGCGGUCGGGAGGCUCGGGCGAAGGGCAGAGAGGCGUGACAAGACGGGGCAAGGGCCGGUGACGAGGCAAGGCGACGAAGGGAGCCUGCGAGGAAGGAAAGGGAGACGAGCACAGGGAGAUGGGCGGCUCUGGCCGGUCGUCCGGGUCGCGGAGGACGGUGAGGAGGCGUCGCAGGCCUUCUGAUCGGGAGCUCGAGGUAACCGGGUUGGAGAAAGGAGGGCAGGUAGGGAGGACGAGGGGGAGAGGGAAAGAGGUAGCUGCGCUGUGGACCAGGGAGGACGACGACUACGGGUGCGGGGCCUCGCUCCUCCCCCUAGCGAUGCAAGGAAGAAGGAGGGGAUCAAGGGCGAUGGCUUCUAGCGGUGGCGAUGGGAACGAGGAAAAGAGGGAGCGAGACUGCGAGGGAGAUGGGGGAGUCGGGCUAGGUUUAGAGGAGUUAGCUAGGCCGGCUGGAUGGGCCUAAGUGGCUGGCUACGCUGGGCCUCUCUUUUCCCUCCCCUACUCUCUUUUAAAAGCAGAAAAGCAAGGAAAGAAAGGGAGAGAAAAAUAAAUGAGUGGACAACAAUUUGGGCAUGGGGAUAAUUUUCCCGAACUCACAAAAAUACGCUUGUUUCGAGAAAAUAUAAAAGGCCAAGAUUGGAAGAUGUAAAUUCAAACUCAUUUGAAUUUAAUUCAAAUGGGUUUGAACUAGGACUAGGUUUAGGAAGUGUCCAAAAAUGUUGAUAAUUUAGGUGGAGCUCCGGAAAAUGACGAAAGGAUAUAUGGGCAAAGUUUGGAGACCAAGAAUUUAGAUAACAAAGGCAUGUGAUAUUUGCAAGUGUGUUAUGGUUAAUUCCAAAAGAAUGGAAUAUUUAAUAAUAACUCCAUAAUUAUUAGGAGGAUAUGUUAUAUAGAGAAAUCACCAGGUGAACUCCCUCGGUUUAAAUGGACUGAAAAUCCAAACGAUUUAUUUAUUUGAUUUGAGAUGCAAAGAUUAAAGACAUGAUGACAUGAUGCAAAUGCUCAUGAUGCAAAGAUGAAAACGAUGAACCAAACAAAUCACACGACGAAACCCGGAAACCCUCGAAGGCAUCUGAAGCUCCGGUCUUGGGGCGUCACAUUGGACCAACACUCAGAGGAGCACUGGCCCGGGGGUUUAAAUAAAGAUGACCCUUAAGUCUGCAGAACCCAAGGGAAAGAAAAGGCUAGGUGGCAAAUGGUAAAACCAAUGUUGGGCCUUGCUGGAGGAGUUUUAUUCAAGGAUAACUGUCAAGGGGUUCCCAUUAUAACCCAACCGCAUAAGGAACGCAAAAUCAAGGAACAUAACACCGGUAUGACGGAAACUAGGGCGGCAAGAGUGGAACAAAGCACCAGGCAUAAGGCCGAGCCUUCCACCCUUUACCAAGUAUAUAGAUGCAUUAAUUAAAUAAGAGAUAUUGUGAUAUCCCAACAAAAUAUCCAUGUUCAACAAGGAACAAACUUCAAUCUUCACCUGCAACUAGACGCUAUAAGAGGGGCUGAGCAAAGCGGUAACAUAGCCAAACAACGGUUUGCUAGGACAAGGUGGGUUAGAGGCUUGACAUGGCAAUAUGGGAGGCAUGAUAAGCAAGUGGUAGGUAUCGUAGCAUAGGCAUAGCAAAAAUGCGAGCUACUAGCAAGCAAAGAUAGAAGUGAUUUCGAGGGUAUGGUCAUCUUGCCUGAGAUCCCGCAAGGAAGAAGAACGAGUCCAUGAAGAAGACAAACGGACGUAGACGAACGAAUCCUCACAAAUGCGACGUUAUCGGAACCAGCCCGAAGAAGCAACACCGGAAAGAAGCAAACAACAUAGUAAACAACCAUCACAUAAACAACAUGGCAUGAUGCACAACCAAGUAUGAUGCAUGUCCGGAUUAAUGGGGCAUGGCAUGGAAAAGUGCACAAACAACACUACAAAUUAAGUGGAGCUCAAUAUGCAACGAGUUUAAUAAUAUGCAACUUUGGGUAGUGUUGUUUAAUAAUAAGUGCGGCGGCGGCGGCAGGGACAAGUCCCUAGAUUUUAGGGUUAGACUAGAAUAUAUAGCGAGAGGAUAUUUGGGUAGGGGCUAUCUCAUCCCUCCGAUCGUAAUUGGGCGGUCGAAAAAAUAGUCUAGGGAGGCGAAAUAAGAAAAUGAUGAUGUUUUGUAGAUGUUUGGGGAUGAUCCGGACCCAACGGUGACGACUGCCCGGGUCGGGUCCGGGGAAGUUUCGGAUGCGCACGAGAGGUCUAUGCACGGCGCAAAGAGGGGUAGGCUGGGCCUAGGUGGACUGUGGAGAGCGGGUUGGUCUGAGAGAAGAGGGGAGAGAUGCAGCCCAACAGGGUUUCCGGAGACCGAAAACGUCCGACGUUAGACCGGCUAUAAUGCCGCUAUAGAUAAUCGUUGGGGUGUCAAACGAAAUCUGAAUGCGAUGAAACUUGGCAGUCGGCUUAUCUACACUAUAACAACACCGCAUGCCAACUUUCAACCCAAUCCGAGAACAUUUUCCGGCCACUUAUAGAAUACUAUUUCGGACAUGCCGCAGGUGUGUGAAAGUGUGUCUGGGCUUAGAACGGACAACGGACGGAACUGGGGGAAACUCGGACGAAUGCAAGUUUUGAAAACAUGCAGAUGCAAUGCGGGUGAUGACAUGGCAAGAUGCAACAUGCAAGCAAAUAACAAGGCAACAACAGCGAAUGACUGGACGACACCUGGUGCAACGGUCUCGGGGCGUUACAACACUCCACCACUACAAGAGGAUCUCGUCCCGAGAUCUAGGAUGGCACCGGAGGGAAAACGGAAGAGGAAGACGAGAGGUAAAACUAAGUUGCUUCUUUGACAAAUGAGUGAAACCAAAGAACCUUGAGAGGUUGAACAACUUCGAGAAAAGAAUACAACAGAGAUGAAUAAAGUUGAAAACACUCCGUUAUAAAAGAGAAACAAGGAAGAACAAAUUCAGGCAGCACUCUGGUUGAAAAGUGAUAUGAAACUUGAUAAGAUGAAAAGAACUUGAGCAGAGGGCACAACACUCUGGUUAAAUGGAUAAGCAAAGGAAAGAACAUGAUCUUGACAAAACAAGAUGAUGGGUCGACGAGAGCAACAUCACAAUGCCUCUGGAACAAAAGAUAGAACGGACUGAAAGUAACAAAGAAGAAAACAACAUCUUCUACAUUGAAUGAAUUAGAAAGCGUCCUUAGAAAUAAGGAUUGAAUGGAGUUGUUGAAAAUCAACAACGAAAAGAACAUGCUUGUUGAGGGCUUAUGGAAAACAUCUCAAAAACUUGAGGUGAAAACCUGCCACAAACGAAAACAAUUGCUUGCUUGAGAGCGACGGAGAGAUGAAAACAUCUUUCAUCGCGAGAAUAGGAGGAAACUUGGAUUAUUGAUAAGCACCCCAAUAGCAACAUUCCUUAGGGAAGGUUUUAUGUGAAAUAUAAUCCAAGAUAACUCCAAUGAAGAGAUUGGUGGAUUUAAAAUAUCUCAUUCUUGACAACAUGUAAAUCAUGAAACAUGAACUCAAAUUAUGAAGAAUGACAUAGCACCACCUCAAAUGAUAAGGGAGAAACAAUUUCAUUCCGGAUUGCAAGAUGAAGAAUGCUUGAACUCCUCUGAAAAGAAUCUUGAUGAACUUUUCGAGAACGGAUUAAGUCCUUGAUGAACCAUCAUGUAGAGCCUCCAUGAAGAACUCCGGUAAAAGAAUGAUCAAACGAAAGGAAAGAGAAGUUGAAAACACAAGGUGAAGCCUUGUAAUGAUAUAUAUGGAUCUUAAGAAAAGAUGAAUCAAGGGAAACCGAGAAUUUGAUGAGCCUCCGGAAUAAGGAAUUAAUCCCUUGGAUGAAACAAUAAUAAGAAUUACGUUAUGCGUAUCCUUCAUCAAUUUAAAUUAAAGACAUUCCACGGAUUUGGCAUACCACUUAUUCUCAUAGAAAAAGGAUUGAAAAGAGAUAUAGCGCAAACUUGAGAAAGGUCUCCAACGAUCCACCGGUAGGAUUGAAACAAUGAAUGAAUUAAUAUGAUAACGAAUGAAGAAAACUCUUGACCGAACCACCGUAAGAAUUGAAAAAAACGAACAAAGAAAAGAUAAAGAAACACCUGAAAGAAUUAAAGAAUGAAUGAAGAUACUUGACAGAAUUCAGAUACAUGAGAACAAAGAGAUCACGAGCUAAUAAGAGAAUACUUGAAUGAUGCACCGGUAAGAUUUGGAGAACGAGAGCUGAAAGCUGGAGUGAAAAAAUCUGAGAUGAUGGGCUCCGGAUGAUCAAACUAAAAAAACUCAUGAAUUGCUCUGGAUGGGUGAAAAUAAUUCUCACAAUCACAAACAAUUAUGAGAGGAUGGUAUGAAGCUAGAACCAUGAAUCUUGAGAGAACGGGCCAAGAUUUGAGAGAAACUCUUCUUCGCCUUCAAAAUUCGAGAAUGAUGCCGAGAAACACCACCAUGAAUUGUUGAGAUACUCCGGGAUGACGAAUAGAAAGGUCGAACCAAUGAUGAAAAGAAUGUGCAAGAUCUUGGAGAAGGCAUUUGACUGAUGAUAACUCAUUCUUACGUCAAACUUGGAAAGGAAUUUGAGAGUAACUCCGGAAAAAUAGAAGAGUCACGUAAGAUCCUGGGAAAAGACCUGUGGGUUAGGGGCCAAUCAAAAGAAACACCAUAGAACGAUUACUAGAAAAGGAGAUUGCACCGCUUGAUUUAAAUGGCUUGAAAGAGAUAACAUCCUCGAAAGAGUUUGAACAGAUUUAAUGAGAUACCAUCUUCUGAGAUAUCUUCAGCACUCCGGAACAAUUGAAUAGUGAGAGGUGAAUGAAUAUGAGGUGCACCGGCAUGAGAAGGUAUUUGAAACAAGGAAAAGGAUAUGAUCCACAAAGCUUGAAUUGGAUCCACCGUAGAAGAAAAGAGAACGAAGAAUGAUGGACUAGAAGCUCCGUUAGAAUCUUCAUGAGAAUCACCGGAUAUGAACAUUGAAAGAAAAAAAGAAGAGACUUCACAUGAAUAAAAAAUGGAUACUAGAUUAAGAAAUCUGAGUCCUUGAAGAAAAGGGUGGGUGGGCGGGAAAACAAAGGCAACUUGGGAUGGAUGAAAUAAACAACAUUGAGAAGAACUGAUAAUUGAUCUUGCUGAUGUUGAAAUGAUCGGGUCCACUUGGAGAGAAACAAGCCGUUUGAAAAAGGAUUAACAUGACAACCUCGAUGAUCAAGAGGGAUUAGUGUUCACAUAGAAAUAUGAGAACACCAUUUAGGAAAGGUAUGGAAUCAACACUUGACAUCGAAGCAACUCGAAUACUACAACUCAAAACAAAAACAAAGGGUUGGCUUGAAGAAUAAGCCGGAACAAACAUAUGAUAGAGAUUUUGUCCGAAGUUUUCGUGGUGGGGCCUACACGGGCUCGAUCAUACAGCACCAUCAUGUACAAGGCAGUGCACAUGACAUACGAAGCGUCCCCGAGUCAGCAUAGCCAAGGACUCUUUAAGACGCAACGAGACCACUGUAAAACCAACCGUGGAUAGGCGGACCACUAGACAUCGAACCCCAAUCUCAUAUCAUGCAUCUGUCGGAAAGAUAUCCUAAGAGCUACUUGAAUUCCCACUUAUAAACUCCCGAAACUUUCUGGUUAUGCAAUCAGGUGUUCGGGUUACAGGGGAAGCAUAAUAUCUCACCCAAAACUACACAAAUCCUACAUCCAGCUAUAUCCAUCCUUCAACACAUAACCAAGAAACCUUCGGAAAUCGUUUACCUCAACCUUCGAAAAGCAUCCGUUAUACGAGUUAUGGCAAUACUCCCGAACUCCCACCCCAGUACUGGGUGGCGUCGAGGUUAUCUCACCAACAACUGCAUAAAAGAGAUUUUCGAUGUCGGCGAAACUCACGUAUUCCAGAAUUGCAACGAUAAAAUUGUGACGACAACACCUCAGAGCUCAACUCCCCGGGACACUGCCACAACCCCUAAAUGUCAGGAGGCACCAAGAACAAUGUUCUCGUCACAAAACCAUCGGAAUGAUUCCAAGAUACCCGCGUGAUCCUAAAAUUUUUUUAGUGAAAUUUGAGGAGAGAAGAGUCAAAACUCUACGUCAGGAUGCCUCACCAGAGCGACGAAGGGACUGAGGAGUCAAAAAGAAUCCUACUCUCCGAUAUAUAUAAUCCUAAAUGACUCAAAACAUUUUUCUAGGCUCAACAACACCAGUGAUUCGAUCAAGCAGGGGGGCUCCUAAGUCGGGGAAGGCUCUGAUUACCAACUUAUAACGCCCUCGAUGCGGCUAUAUCUCCCAUGUGUCGAAGCACGACUUAGAGGCAUAACCGCAUUGAAAGCAAUGUCGCAAGUGAGGUAAUCUUCACAUAAUCCAUCUAAUACAUAAGGGAAAGAGAUACAUAGUUGGCUUACAAUCGCCACGUCACACAAUACACGAAUAUAACAUUACAUCAACCAGAUACACACAAGGUCCGGCUACGGAACCAAAAUAAAAGAAGACUACCCCAAAUGCUACACAGAUCCCCAGUCGUCCCGACCGGGCUCCACUACUGAUCAACUGGAAACGGAAACAACAUAACAAACACGAUCUUCAUCACGCUCCUCCUUGAGCUCAGUUGCGUCACCUGCACGAUAUCAUCGGCACCUGCAAGCUGGUUUUGGAAGUAUCUGUGAGUCACGGGGACUCAGCAAUCUCACACCCUCGUGAUCAAGACUAUUUAAGCUUAUGGGUGAGGUAAAAGGUAUGAGGUGGAGCUGCAGCAAGCACUAGCAUAUAUGGUGGCUAACAUACGCAAAAGAGAGCGAGAAGAGAAUGCAAGGCACGGUCGAGAAACUAUGAUCAAGAAGUCAUCCUAGAACAAUCUACGUCAAGCAUAACUCCAACACCGUGUUCACUUCCCGAACUCCGCCGGAAAGAGACCAUCACGGCUACACACGCUGUUGAUGCAUUUUAAUUAAGUUAAGUGUCAAGUUCUCUACAACCGGACAUUAACAAAUUCCAUUCUGCCAUAACCGCGGGCACGACUUUCGAAAGUUCAAAUCCCUGCAGGGGUGUCCCAACUUAGCCCAUCACAAGCUCUCACGGUCAAUGAAGGAUAUUCCUUCUCCCAGGAAGACCCGACCAGACUCGGAAUCCCGGUUACAAGACAUUUCGACAAUGGUAAAACAAGACCAGCAAAGCCACCCGAAUGUGCCGACAAAUCCCGAUAGGAGCUGCACAUAUCUCAUUCUCAGGGCACACCGAAUUGUCCAAGGUUCCGGUAGGCCAGCCCAGAGUUGCCCCUGGUGGCCACCGCAGGUUGGACCAACACUCAGAGGAGCACUGGCCCGGGGGUUUAAAUAAAGAUGACCCUUGAGUCUGCAGAACCCAAGGGAAAGAAAAGGCUAGGCGGCAAAUGGUAAAACCAAUGUUGGGCCUUGCUGGAGGAGUUUUAUUCAAGGCGACUGUCAAGGGGUUCCCAUUAUAACCCAACCGCAUAAGGAACGCAAAAUCAAGGAACAUAACACCGGUAUUGUAACAUCCCAAAAUUCUAAAUUUUGGAAUGUUAUAAUAAAUAGAUAGAUUUGAUUGAUUGUUUGAUUGAUUGUGUGAAAUUGAGUGAAAAUCGAAACCUUUUUGAAAGUUAAAUGAGAGGGAAUAAAAGGACUUUCCCAAACUUUCAUUUUGCAUUCGUGAUCUCCGUGAAUUCAAAUUCUUUUCACCACGAAACCCUGGAGAGAAGAUGACAUGACUUCUUCCAUUUAUUUAAAUGACAAGGGGUGUUGAAAAUAUUUGAAUUUCAUUUGCGAACAUUUCCAAUUCUGAAACUUUAUGCAACUCAAUGAUUUUCAUGAGAGAAGAUAAAACGACUUCUUCAAAUUAUAUGAAAUAUGAGUUGGGAGUUUCAAAGAAACUCAAAUUUAAAAUCCAGUUGAAAUUAUUUUUCAAUUUGGGUUAUUUGAGUUUUUAUUCAAAUUAAUUUCUCCAAAAAUAAAAUAUAUGGAAAUUAGGGUAACAUGAUUCCCUACAAUAGAAAAUUGGAGAAAAAUUAAUUUGAAAUCAUUUUGCUAUUUUUAAAAUGAUUUUUUAUUGGAUUUUAUUAGAGCAGGAGAACUCUUUGAAUUAUUAGAAUUUGUAUGUAUUUUAUUUAAUGCUAGAAAAAUGUCCAUGUUGUAGAAAAUCUUUUUCUGAAAAUUUUGAUAUAUUAUAUGCUUAUAUAAUAUUUUUAAUUAUUUCGUUUUUAUUAUUUUGAUUGUGUGGAAAAAUGUUAUAAAAAAAACUUCGGACCGACGAGACCGGGCCGGCCCAGUUCGCCAGGCCACGGCCCAGCUGGCCCACGCCGCUCAUCCCCGUGCUCGAGACGAAGUCCCGAGCCAGCACGCCAGCGCCGCCGCCGUGCUUCGCCCGACCACUCCCGCCGCCGCCUCUCCUGCCCCCUCGCCCACGCCACGGAGCCGACCACCCCUAUAUAAGUGCCGCCUCCGCCGCCCCUCUCUUCUCUCUCCCGCCGCCUGCUGCCGCAUCGCCGUCGCCGGCGCCCGCAUCUCGCCGCCGCCGGCGAGAUCUGCCACGACCGCCGCCUACUGCUUGCCACCGCCCCACGCCGCUAGCAGACGCCGCCUGCGCCACCGAAGCCCGCCGCUGCCACCUCGCCCCGAUGGCCGCUCCGGAGUUCGCCGCCGGUCGGAUCCGCUCUGCCGCCGUCAAAAACCGCCUCCUGGUUUUUUUUUGUUGAAACCCGCCUCACCGGUAUAAACCGCCGAAAAACCCUCCCCGGUUCUUUUCUAGUUCGGUUUUCUGUUAUAGAUCGGUUUAUUAAUUAGGUUUUGGUUAUUUUGCGAGCGUUCAUUAGUUAGGGUUCUCUAGCGAACGAUUUCGUUCGGUAGUGUCCGGUAGCGAACGUUCGCUAUUUAGAUUUGUUUUCUUCUUUUUUCUGUUUAUUUAUGUCAGGGGCCUAUUCGUGAUUAACUUUCUUUACAGUUUAGUCCCUGAAUUUCAAACGAUCAUUACUUUUCACUCGUUUGUCCAAAUCCAACGAAACCAACGGCCACGUCUUCGUUAUGAUCCCCUCUAUCCAUUAAAGCAACUCAAACAUGUUUUUGAAAGUUUUAAAAUUUGAAUUAGAUCAGAUUUAGAUUUAAACUUUGUUUGAUCACAACCUGAGUUUCGUAGCUCCGAUUUAGUUGAUUCUUUUUGCAAAUCGAAGCUCUUGACUUAAACUUUCUGAUAAGGCCAAAUUCACAUAAUUUUGGUACUGUUAGAAAUUGUUUUGUGUUGCAAGAGUUAUUUGUUUGGUUUUGAUGUUUUUCGAAUUGUCUUCUUCGUUCUUUUUGAUCUUUUGAGUGAUUGCUUAUGUGUGGUUACUAUUGCUUGCUUACGAUAGAUUGACCGGAGUGUGACGAGUAGAACUAUCAAGAGUUAUGAGUGCGAAUCAUCUUCAUCAACAUUGCAGGCAAGUUCACACUAUCAUAUCCCUUUCAUACCCAGUUUUUAUGCAUUAGUUUCACCCUCAAACAUUGCAUGAGUAGGAUUGAUAACAUGUGGGUAUUGGGAAGUAGUUGAUGAGGUAGGAACCUACUGCCCUGCAUUCAAACCUUUGGAGUUACUAUUACGUUAUGCUUAUAUUGUCAUGCUAUGCUCGUAGAUGUGGAUUGGGUUUGAGAGUAUUUCAUGACAGAUGUGAGAUUGUUAAUUAAUGGUUUAAUUAAGGUGGAAACUUUAACACACAUCUGGGUAGAUUGAGGCACCAGGGUAUUCCAGCGAUUACCUGUCUAGGCACCUGGGUAUUCCAGGAUUCUUGUUUUUUUAUGUACCGCCACCCAGGCUCAAUGGGAUCAUGAGACUAUUCAUGCUAGAAACUUCCGUGUGCAGCCACAAGCUACUAUGGGCUUUAGCAUAGUUGACUAAGUCGUGCGAACUCUUAUAGUGGUAGACUAGCAGAUGUAGGGGAUGUAGGUGGUACGGUAUACCCAUCGUAAGGUGCUAGCGCUUCUGAAAGACUAUGUCUCGGUCAUCCGUUUCUCAAACACCAUGUAGUGUGAGAAAUCCAACAGAGGAGAUCGAGUCUUGUGGGGAAAAGUGCGCAAACCUCUGCAGAGUGUAUAAACUAAUCAUGGUUAGCCGUGUCCCCGGUUAUGGACAUCUUGAGUAUCUAGUACUUGGAUUAUCAUGUGAAUCUCAUCAUGUUACUUUAAUUUAAGUUUGUUGGGUUUAAUGAUGUUACUUAAUUGGGAUUGAGAAUGUUGUCAACCAUUCUCAAUGUUCAACAACCACCAUGAUGGUUAAAUAAAAUUUAUUCCUUUGCAGUAGGGAAAAAUUGGCUUUUCGCAAAAACAUAUAACCAUAGAGCUUUUCCACCAGCCAUAUAUGCAUGUAGUGAUAGCCAUUGUUCAUCAUUCUCUAUGGUGUGAAUUUGCCAGUACAAUCAAUGUACUGACCCUCUGUGGCUGCAAUGUCUCAUGUUGCAGGAUUUCUUACGACGAGUAAGUGAUACGUUAGGGUUACGAUUUCUACACUCAACUUUGCCGUUGGUGUUGAUGGGAAUCCACAACCUUGUUACUUCCGCUUUUUGGAUUGAGGUAAUAGUAUUUACAUUACUUUACACAUGUGAUUUACCUCUGUUAUAAAUCCUGGAGUACUGUGUGUGUUAGCAUACCGAUCCAGGGAUGACACUUAAGCACAGAGAGUUGAUCCAUUCGGGUCAGGUCGCUACAAGAUGAUAUCAGAGCACAUGUUGACUGUAGGACGUGACCCCUAGAAACUGGCAAGCCCAUAGGAAAGAUUUUCUCUACAACUUCAUUUUCAAAAGAUCUUUUACUUCUCUUCUCUUCUGAGCUUAUUCAAAAAUUCCUUUUUAGUUAGACUAUACCCUUUUUCCCUUUGGAUCACUCAAAGAUUCGACGGAUGAGACCACUCCAAGAAGUACAAGAUAUUGGACAACUAAGACCGCUUCAGAAUGAAGAGGAUUUUACUGUGUAUCUGAAUAAUGGAAACUACAAUGGUUGAAGACCGAAGACAAGGAGAAUUUGAAGGCUCUGAAGAAUUCCCAGAUUUGUAUGACCUAGGAAGGCUACCCUUAUGGAACUUGGCAGGCUAUGAAAGUUGUCAAUACCCGAGAUCAAGGUGUAUCGGAGAAAGACUGAAACAAGGAGCAUGAGAACUCGAAGUUUUGUCAAAGAAAACCCUAAGGUAGGAGAUAUCAACUAGGGAAUGAUAGCUCAUGGGAAUGACAAGAGCAGAAACACGGUUAUCUGUGAUGUCAUCGCCCGCUGAUGCUAUUGUCACCAUGCUGAGUUAAGGAUGUAGUUUUAACCUUAGCUGGUGUAUCACCAGGAUCUGGAGUGUUACAUCAAGAAGUUAAGAUGGACCUACAAGAAGCAGUAUUUUGACAAGGAAGUAUUUCAUGAGGAACUCAGGACCCAGAAACUGAAAGUAGCCAAGCUAGAGGAGCAAAACCUUGAGAUACCAGAGAUUCAUCAAGAACUAAAGGACAGAGGACAUGGUUCAUGCCAAGGAUGUUGAAACCUAGAAGUUGGAAUGAAACUACAGAAUAUUAAAGGAUGUCACGAGAGACUUCGCGUCAACAGAGAUGAUCUGGCAGAAGGAUUUGAGAAAGACAAGCAUGAUCGAAAGAAGCCAUCGAAGACAGGAACAAGACUUGAAGAGUUUGGCGACGUUGACCUUUAGAAGACCAAACCCCUGUUAUAUACCUACGUUAGAUGCGAAGAUUGUGAGUUGUCAUUUGUUUGAUGUUUUCCGACAGCCACAAUAAAAUCUGCCUUUUCAAAACUUUUGUUUGCAUUGUGUGUAUCCCUCUCUAUCUCUCUUAUCUCACCCCAAACCCUUGGACCCAAUAGAGGAUGAAUGGAGAUGAGCUUUCUGGACUGAUGAGUCAGUUGGAGAUAGACCGAUGGAUUCAGAACAUGGAGGAUCACAUGGAGAAUAACCCUAUAGUUGGACAUGAUAUGACCCAGCAUGCUCUUCAGUGCUUUGAAAGAGGUGCUGCUACUUGGUGGAGGAUGUACCAACCCAUCAAUGGAUGGUAAGGAGUAACCACUUGGAAAGAAUUUAAGUUGACUUUGCAAAGAUCUCACCUUGUGUCCCAAAAGUUGAAGCCUUAUGGAAAGGAUGUGAAGAAACCUUGUGCAUGCAAGAUUUGUGGAGAAAUAGGACACACCCAUAAAGAACACAAGGAUGAAUGCCCUAACUGUGAAGGAAGUCACCUAGUUGAAGAAUGCCCAAUUAGGCAGAUUACUUGUUUCUUGUGUGAAGGGACUACCCACUAUCCUGCUCAGUGUCACAUUUACCCCAUGGUACAACGAACCAUCCAGCAGAAGAAAGAACUAAUGAAAGGAGCCCUCAUGGAAAUUUUAUAAGAAGUUGUGAUGAAUGAAGAGAUGGAGGACACGCCUCAAGAAGACCUGAGUAAACCCUGCACUAAGUCUUGCUAUUCAUGUGGAGAAGAAGGACACAUCUCCCAAAAUUGUUUGAAUGGGGAUCUAGUAGAAUUCCCGACAGAGGAAGUAGAAUAUGACCCACGGGAAAUAGAAGCCCUGAUUGGAAUGGAAAAGUCUAGGAAGAGAAACCGAUUGGAGCGGGACCUGAGUCAUAUCACCUGUUACAGGUGCAAGGAGUCAGGGCACUACCUCAACAAUUGCCCAAAAAGGAAACCUCGAUACUUGUCAGAAGUAAUAUGUUUUAGUUGUAAUGGAGCAGGGCACUUUUCCAGAGAAUGCCCCAAGGAGAAGGAAACUUGUGCUAGAUAGUUGAGUAUGCAACAAAAGAAAUGGAGUAGUAGAAGUGAGAACAUUUUCUUUUAUAUUGAGGUGUUGAGUUGAGACAUCUAAUGGAAAAGCGAGAGAUUGUAAUCAAUUGAGAGUGAAUAAAGUUAGCAUCGUUGGUACUGAUAUGUAUUUUAUGAGUUGUUACUCUAUGAAGAAGGAUUUGACCAUUUCUGAGGAUAUGAGAAAUAUGGUCUAUGGAAGAUUUGUGCAUUUUAAGGGUGGUAGUACCCUGUAAGAACCCUUGACCCCUGGAAAAGAUAAGGAUACUCCACUGAGUGGAUUUCAGACAAAAUGAAUACGAGUUUUGUCUCGAUAUGUGUGAUACCCCAAGAGUAUGUGGGAGACCGUCAAUUGUUUGGACCAAAUGUGAUCAAGGAGUCAAAAGAGAAUGUUAAGUUGAUUCGAGAUAGACUGAAGGUAGCUCAGUCCAGGCAGAGGAGAUAUGCAGACUCAAAAACUCAAGGAGGUAGUCUAUGAGAUUGGAGACAGAGCAUGUCUUCGUCCCCUCUGCGAGGAGUUAAACGAUUUGUAGUUAAGGGAAAGUUAGCCCCGAGAUUUGUAGGACCAUACUGAGUUUUGGAGCAUAUGGGAGAAGUGGCCGACAAGUUGGAGUCACCCGAAGGACUGUCAGGAGUUCAUGAUGUGUUUCACGUUUCCCAGUUGAAGAAGUGCCAUGCAGAGAUGGCCAAUAUUACCCUGUAAGGACGCUUGACCCUGGAAAGGAUAAUGAUGUUCCAAGAAGUGGAAUAUGGACUUCAUAAGUAUAAGUUUUUAUCUCGGUAUGAGGGAUAUCCCAUGAGGAUGAAGAGAUAAAUUACUAUUGGAUAUAAAGGAGGUAUGAUGCCGGAAAUAUGGAUCCAUGGAAACUCCAUGAUGAGUCUGAGUAAUCAUGUCCUAGUUUGGUGCCAAUAGAAGGAAGUAAGACAGUACAAUUGGAUGGAUUUAAGAAUACUAGGAAGUUGGAAGUUGGAAUAAUGAUCAGUUGCCCGAUGAUAAGUUCAAGGACUACAAGUGAUGAGAUGGGCCAUAACCCACAUGCCCCAGGACCUGCCAAGAAGCAAGCACAUUCUUGCUGAAGGAAAAACCCUGGAGGAAGAUACGACGUUUAUCGGCAGACAAUUUUAUAGGAGUAACUCAAAACCUGAGAGUUGUGAAGGAACGAUAGAUAUUUGUUUGACUUGCAGAAUCAAUGGAUUAUUCCGAACGCAGUUCGCGGACAAGAGAAAUUCUGCAAUGCUUGUGAGGAUGACCGAGUGUUAGAAUGCGAGAUGCGCUAAACCGUAUACAAGGUAAUGAUUUGGGUGCGGGAUAGAUUGAUCACCAUACCGACUUACUCUUAUUGUUCGCCUUGCUAUAUGGGAUGGUAAAUCUGAGUGACUUACCUAUAGUAGAGCGCCGACGAUCAAAACUUUGCUUAAAACUUAGAAUGGUAUAAGUAUUUUUCCCUUGUACAAGACAGCUUUGCCAACCAUAGGUUAUACGGUGAGGAUCAACCCAGACCCAUUUCCUGCAGGAGAAACCCUAAAUUGUUGACCACCAUGAGAGAUAUCGAUAGUUGAUUAGUAUUGGCGCCAGACUCGUCAUCUAAGAAGACCCAGUCUCGGAAGAACCUUACCUAGAUGAAAGACAGAAGAAUUGUGGUAAAGGUUAUGCCACUACCGGAAGAGCCCGGAUAAGGAAUUAUCCUGAAGAUCCAAGAAGACUAACACUGUUAACAAUAAAAAUGGAGUAUAUGAGUUUUGAUGGAACCGUAACAAUGCUUCUAAGGGUGGUAGCACCCCAGAGCCUGAAGAUGAUUGACGAAAUUUUGAAGAGACCCCGAACCUAACCUAUUUCUUCCUAGCCUCUCCGAAUCUCGAGGACGAGAUUCCUUUUAAGGGUUGUAGGUUUGUAACAUCCCAAAAUUCUAAAUUUUGGAAUGUUAUAAUAAAUACAUAGAUUUGAUUGAUUGUUUGAUUGAUUGUGUGAAAUUGAGUGAAAUUCGAAACCUUUUUGAAAGUUAAAUGAGAGGGAACAAAAGGACUUUCCCAAACUUUCAUUUUGCAUUCGUGAUCUCCGUGAAUUCAAAUUCUUUUCACCACGAAACCCUGGAGAGAAGAUCACAUGACUUCUUCCAUUUAUUUAAAUGAUAAGGGGUGUUGAAAAUAUUUGAAUUUCAUUUGCGAACAUUUCCAAUUCUAAAACUUUAUGCAACUCAAUGAUUUUCACGAGAGAAGAUAAAACGACUUCUUCAAAUUAUAUGAAAUAUGAGUUGGGAGUUUCAAAGAAACUCAAAUUUAAAAUCCAGUUAAAAUUAUUUUUCAAUUUGGGUUAUUUGAGUUUUUAUUCAAAUUAAUUUCUCCAAAAAUAAAUAUAUGGAAAUUAGGGUAACAUGAUUCCCUAUAAUAGAAAAUUGGAGAAAAAUUAAUUUGAAAUCAUUUUGGUAUUUUAAAACGAUUUUUUAUUGGAUUUUAUUAGAGCAGGAGUACUCUUUGAAUUAUUAGAAUUUGUAUGUAUUUUAUUUAAUGCUAGAAAAAUGUCCAAGUUGUAGAAAAUCUUUUUCUGAAAAUUUUGAUAUAUUAUAUGCUUAUAUAAUAUUUUUAAUUAUUUCGUUUUUAUUAUUUUGAUUGUGUGGAAAAAUGUUUUAAAAAAACUUCGGACCGACCGGACCGGGCCGGCCCAGUUCGCCAGGCCACGGCCCAGCCGUCCCACGCCGCUCAUCCCCGAGCUCGGGACGAAGUCCCGAGCCAGCACGCCAGCGCCGCCGCCGUGCUUCGCCCGACCACUCCCGCCGCCGCCUCUCCUGCGCCCUCUCCCACGCCACGGAGCCGACCCCCCCUAUAUAAGCGCCCCCUCCAUCGCCCCUCUCUUCUCUCUCCCGCCGCCUGCUGCCGCAUCGCCGUCGCCAGCGCCUGCAUCUCGCCGCCGCCGGCGAGAUCCGCCACGACCGCCGCCUGCUGCUUGNNNNNNNNNNNNNNNNNNNNNNNNNNNNNNNNNNNNNNNNNNNNNNNNNNNNNNNNNNNNNNNNNNNNNNNNNNNNNNNNNNNNNNNNNNNNNNNNNNNNNNNNNNNNNNNNNNNNNNNNNNNNNNNNNNNNNNNNNNNNNNNNNNNNNNNNNNNNNNNNNNNNNNNNNNNNNNNNNNNNNNNNNNNNNNNNNNNNNNNNNNNNNNNNNNNNNNNNNNNNNNNNNNNNNNNNNNNNNNNNNNNNNNNNNNNNNNNNNNNNNNNNNNNNNNNNNNNNNNNNNNNNNNNNNNNNNNNNNNNNNNNNNNNNNNNNNNNNNNNNNNNNNNNNNNNNNNNNNNNNNNNNNNNNNNNNNNNNNNNNNNNNNNNNNNNNNNNNNNNNNNNNNNNNNNNNNNNNNNNNNNNNNNNNNNNNNNNNNNNNNNNNNNNNNNNNNNNNNNNNNNNNNNUGCGCCGCCGAAGCCCGCCGCUGCCACCUCGCCCCGACGACCGCGCCGGAGUUCGCCGCCGGCUGGAUCCGCUCUGCCGCCGUCGAAAACCGCCUCCCGGUUUUUUUUGUUGAAAACCGCCUCACAGGUAUAAACCGCCGAAAAACCCGCCCCGGUUCUUUUCUAGUUCAGUUUUCUGUUAUAGAUCGGUUUAUUAAUUAGGUUUUGGUUAUUUUGCAAGCGUUCAUUAGUUAGGGUUAUCUAGCGAACGAUUUCAUUCGGUAGUGUCCGGUAGGGAACGUUCGCUAUUUAGAUUUUUUUUUUCUUUUUUCUGUUUAUUUACGUCAGGGGCCUAUUCGUGAUGAACUUUCUUUAUAGUUUAGUCCCUGAAAUUCAAAUGAUCAUUACUUUUCACUCGUUUGUCCAAAUCCAACGAAACCAACGACCACGUCUUUGUUAUGAUCCCCUCUAUCCAUUAAAACAACUCAAACAUGUUUUUGAAAGUUUUAAAAUUUGAAUUAGAUCAGAUUUAGAUUUAAACUUUGUUUGAUCAUAACUUGAGUUUCGUAGCUCCGAUUUAGUUGAUUCUUUUUGCAAAUCGAAGCUCUUGACUUAAACUUUCUGAUAAGGCCAAAUUCACAUAAUUUUGGUACUGAUAGAAAUUGUUUUGUGUUGCAAGAGUUAUUUGUUUGGUUUUGAUGUUUUCCGAAUUGUCUUCUUCAUUCUUUCUGAUCUUUUGAGUGAUUGCUUAUGUGUGGUUACUAUUGCUUCCUUAUGAUAGAUUGACCGGAGUGUGACGAGUAGAACUAUCAAGAGUUAUGAGUGCGAAUCAUCUUCAUCAACAUUGCAGGCAAGUUCACACUAUCAUAUCCCUUUCAUACCCAGUUUUUAUGCAUUAGUUUCACCCUCAAACAUGGCAUGAGUAGGAUUGAUAACAUGUGGGUAUUGGGAAGUAGUUGAUGAGGUAGGAACCUACUACCCUGCAUUCAAACCUUGGGAGUUACUAUUACGUUAUGCUUAUAUUGCCAUGCUAUGCUCGUAGACGUGGAUUGGGUUUGAGAGUAUUUCAUGACAGAUGUGAGAUUGUUAAUUAAUGGUUUAAUUAAGAUGGCAACUUUAACACACAUCUGGGUGGAUUGAGGUACCUGGGUAUUCUAGUGAUUGCCUGUAUAGGCACCGGGGUAUUCCAGGAUUUCCUGUUUUUUUUAUGGACCGCCACCCAGGCUCAAAGGGAUCAUGAGAUUAUUCAUGCUAGAAACUUCCGUGUGCAGCCACAAGCUACUAUGGGCUCUAGCAUAGUUGACUAAGUCGUGCGAACUCUUACAGUGGUAGACUAGCAGAUGUAGGGGAUGUAGGUGGUACGGUCUACCCAUCGUAAGGUGCUAGCGCUUCUGAAAGACUAUGUCUCGGUCAUCCGUUUCUCAAACACCAUGUAGUGCGAGAAAUCCAACGGAGGAGAUAGAGUCUUGUGGGGAAAAGUGCGCAAACCUCUGCAGAGUGUACAAACUAAUCAUGGUUAGCCGUGUCCCCGGUUAUGGACAUCUUGAGUAUCUAGUACUUGGAUUAUCAUGUGAAUCUCAUCAUGUUACUUUAAUUUAAGUUUGUUGGGUUUAAUGAUGUUACUUAAUUGGGAUUAAGAAUGCUGUCAACCACUCUCAAUGUUCAACAACCACCAUGAUAGUUAAAUAAAAUUUAUUCCUUUGCAGUAGGGAAAAAUUGGCUUUUCGCAAUAACAUAUAACCAUAGAGCUUUUCCACCAGCCAUAUAUGCAUGUAGUGAUAGUCAUUGUUCAUAAUUCUCUAUGGUGUGAAUUUGCUAGUACAUUCAAUGUACUGACCCUCUGUGGCUGCAACGUCUCAUGUUGCAGGAUUUCUUACGACGAGUAAGUGAUACGUUAGGGUUACGAUUUCUACACUCAACUUUGCCGUUGGUGUUGAUGGGAAUCCACAACCUUGUUACUUCCGCUUUUUGGAUUGAGGUAAUAGUAUUUACGUUACUUUACAUAUGUGAUUUACCUCUGUUAUUAAUCCUCAAGUACUGUGUGUGUCAGCAUACCGAUCCAGGGAUGACACUUAAGCACAGAGAGUUGAUCCAUUCGGGUCAGGUCGCUACAGCUAUGACAGAAACUAGGGCAGCAAGAGUGGAACAAAGCACCAGGCAUAAGGCCGAGCCUUCCACCCUUUACAUAGUAUAUAGAUGCAUUAAUUAAAUAAGAGAUAUUGUGAUAUCCCAACAAAAUAUCCAUGUUCAACAAGGAACAAACUUCAAUCUUCACCUGCAACUAGAAACGAUAUAAGAGGGGCUGAGCAAAGCGGUAACAUAGCCAAACAACGGUUUGCUAGGACAAGGUGGGUCAGAGGCUUGACAUGGCAAUAUGGGAGGCAUGGUAAGCAAGUGGUAGGUAUCAUAGCAUAGGCAUAGAAAAAAUGCGAGCUACUAGCAAGCAAAGAUAGAAGUGAUUUCGAGGGUAUGGUCAUCUUGCCUGAGAUCCCGCAAGGAAGAAGAAUGAGUCCAUGAAGAAGACAAACGGACGUAGAUGAAUGAAUCCUCACAAAGAGACAUUAUCGGAACCAACCUGAAGAAGCAACACCGGAAAGAAGCAAACAACAUAGUAAACAACCAUCACAUAAACAACAUGGCAUGAUGCACAACCAAGUAUGAUGCAUGUCCGGAUUAAUGGGGCAUGGCAUGGAAAAGUGCACAAACAACACUACAAAUUAAGUGGAGCUCAAUAUGCAAUGAGUUGCAUAUUGACAGAACACCACAUUCAAGUUAUUUAGUUCGAUCUUGUUUAUGUACCCAAAAAUAUUAAAUGUUGAUUAACAUGGCAAGAGGUGAAGCAUAUGAAAACUAACUAUCUAGUCAAGUUUAAAUGAGGCCGGAAACAACAAACAACAAUUCCGAAAAAUCCUCAUGUGCAUAUUAAUGGAUUUGGUACUGUUCUGCCCUAAACCAUAUUUUAUAUUUGUUAAACAUGCAAAGUGAUGCCACCAUGUUAAACUAGGCAUUUUUGUACCCCAUUUACAUAUAAAGUUUAUUAAGUUUGGAGCUGCGGUUAUUUAGUUAUGAAAUAAAUCAUUUUAGCAUGGCAUAGGAGCAAAUUUAACCAAAAAACAUUUUAAACAUUUCAAACAUGGAUGAAAGUUGCAUAUUAUUAAACUAGACAAAAUUCUAAGCAACUUUCAUAUAUAAUUUAUUUAGAUCCGAUGCACGGUUGUGAAGUUAUUAGAUGCAUGAUUCUAGGGACUAAACUGCAAAACAGUUAUUUCAGGAAAAAGCUAAAUUUGUAGCAGCAGGAAAAAAACAGGACGGGCUGCAUUGGGUUGAACUGAGAUGCUCACCACGGGCCAGGCCCAGUCGGGUGAGAGGGGCAGCUGGGCCGCAGUCAAUCGGGCGAAGGGGAGGUGGCCCACGCGGGAAAUCACAGGGGAGCCGGUUGGGCCUUGCUCGGCGCGGUUCCUGGGCCUUGCUGGAGACGCUGGCCUCACGCGGUCGCUCACACGCUCGACCAAGCGAUGCAGUCAGCAGCGGGAGAAACAGGGGCGCAGGUCAACGCACGCGGCGCGACGCGGCAGGAGCUCCGGCGAGGCGGUCUCGGCGGGGACCGAUCGGAACGGGACUGGGGCGGCGGGAUCUAGCGGAUCUGGGCGCGGGGAUGGAGCUCCAGCGGCGUGACUUGGGCUCCAUGGGGGGCAGCGGCCGAUGUUGUUGACUGAAGAAAGAAAAGCAGAAGAGGAUUCAGAGGGGAAAAGCACGGGGAGGAAAUAGAGAGAGACGGUGGCCUUGGACCUGUUGGCUCAAGGAGAGGUCAGAGGAGGCCGUGGGGUCCUGCUGGUGCUGCUUCCCAUCACCAGCGGGGACGGCUGGCUUGAUCCGCUUUGGGUCGAGGAGCUCCUCUCAUUUGGGUUCGAGCGGGGCAGGGAGGAGGAAAACGCUCGGACAGGAGGCGGCGGCUGCGGGAUGCCUCAGGCUCCUCUGGUUUGAUGUGCAGCAGAUGCGGGAGGCGAGACGAGGCUGGAUUGGGUGGAUCGAGGGAAGGGGGGUGGUUGGUUCGGUGGCGAAAUCGAGGAAGGGAAGAAGACGGCGCUGGUUGGGCAGGUGGAUCGGGGUGGAUCCCGAUGGGGAUUUGGGAGAUAAGUGCAGCAGCGGCGACAGGGACAAGUCCCUAGAUUCUAUGGUUAGACUAGAAUAUAUAGCGAGAGGAUAUUUGGGUAAGGGCUAUCUCGUCCCUCCGAUCGUAAUCGGGCGGUCGAAAAAAAUAGGCUAGGGAGGCCGAAUAAAAAAACGGUGAUGUUUUGUAGAUGUUUGGGGAUGAUCCGGACCCAACGGUGACGACUGCCCGGGUCGGGUCCGGGAAAGUUUCGGACGCGCACGAGAGGUCUAUGCACGGCGUAAAGAGGGGUAGGCUAGGCCUAGGUGGACUAUGGAGAGUGGAUUAGUCUGAGAGAAGAGGGGAGAGAUGCAGCCCAGCAGGGUUUUCGGAGACCGAAAACGUCCGACGUUAGACCGGCUAUAAUGCCGCUAUAGAUAAUCGUUGGGGCGUCAAACGAACUCCGAAUGCGAUGAAACUUGGUAGGCGGCUUAUCUACACUAUAACAACACCGCAUGCCAACUUUCAACCCAAUCCGAGAACAUUUUCCGGCCACUUAUAGAAUACUAUUUCGGACAUGCCGCGGGCGCGUGCAAGUGUGUCUGGGCUCAGAACGGACAAUAGACGGAACUGGGGGAAACCCGGACGAAUGCAAGUUUUGAAAACAUGCAGAUGCAAUGCGGGUGAUGACAUGGCAAGAUGCAACACGCAAGAAAAUGACAAGGCAACAAUAGCAAAUGACUGGACGACACCUGGCGCAACGGUCUCGGGGCGUUACACAUACCUCUCGACACAGGCAUGAGUAUGAAAUACCAAUUUCACCUCUUGGAACAUCUUAUAUGCUCCGUGGCGUUCAAAACAUUUUUUAAGUCCCGGUUCUAAGCCAUAAAGCAUGGUGCACUAAACUAUCAAGUACUUAUCAUACUGAGCUUUUGUCAAAACAUUCAAAACAUUUGCAUCUGCUCCUGCAAUAGUUCUGUCACCUAGCGGUGCAUCAAGGACAUAAUACUUCUGUGCAGCAAUGAGGAUAAUCCUCAGAUCACGGAGCUAGUCUGCAUCUUUGCUACUAACAUCUUUCAACUUAUUUUUCUCUAGGAACAUAUCAAAAAUAAAACAGGGGAGCUAAACGCGAGCUAUUGAUCUACAACAUAGAUAUGCUAAUACUACCAGGACUAAGUUCAUGAUAAAUUAAAGUUCAAUUAAUCAUAUUACUUAAGAACUCCCACUUAGAUAGACAUCCCUCUAAUCAUCUAAGUGAUCACGUGAUCCAAAUCAACUAAACCAUGUCCGAUCAUCACGUGAGAUGGAGUAGUUUUCAAUGGUGAACAUCACUAUGUUGAUCAUAUCUACUAUAUGAUUCACGCUCGACCUUUCGGUCUCAGUGUUUCGAGGCCAUAUCUGCAUAUGCUAGGCUCGUCAAGUUUAACCUGAGUAUUCUGCAUGUGUAAAACUGUCUUACACCCAUUGUAGAUGAACGUUGAGCUUAUCACACCCGACCAUCACGUGGUGUCUCGGCACGACGAACUUUGGCAACGGUGCAUACUCAGGGAGAACACUUUUCCCUUGAAAUUUAGUAAGGGAUCAUCUUAUAAAGCUACCGCCGAACUAAGCAAAAUAAUAUGUAUAAAAGAUAAACAUCACAUGCAAUCAUAAUAUGUGACAUGAUAUGGCCAUCAUCAUCUUGUGCUUUCGAUCUCCAUCUCCAAAGUAUAGUCAUGAUCUCCAUUGUUACCGGCAUGGCACUAUGAUCUCCAUCAUCUUGAUCUUUUAUCAAUGUGUCGUCACAUGGUCGUCUCACCAGCUAUUGCUUUUGCAACUAUUGCUAUUGCAUAACGAUAAAGUAAAGCAAUUACAUAGCACUUGCAUCUUAUGCAAAUAAAGAGACAACCAUAAGGCUCCUGCCAGUAGCCGAUAAAUUUAAAAAAACAUGAUCAUCUCAUAUAACAAUUUAUAUUUCAUCACGUCUUGACCAUAUCACAUCACAACAUGCCCUGCAAAAACAAGUUAGACGUCCUCUACUUUGUUGUUGCAAGUUUUACGUGGCUGCUACGGGCUGAGCAAGAAGCGUUCUUACCUACGCAUCAAAACCACAACGAUAGUUCAUCAAGUUAGUGUUGUUUUAACCUUCACAAGGACCGGGCGUAGCCACACUCGGUUCAACUAAAGUUGGAGAAACUGACACCCGCCAGCCACCUGUGUGCAAAGCACGUCGGUAGAACUAGUAUCGCGUAAGCGUACGCGUAAUGUUGGUCCGGGCCGCUUUAUCCAACAAUACCGCCGAACCAAAGUAUGACAUGCUGGUAAGCAGUAUGACUUGUAUCACCCACAACUCACUUGUGUUCUACUCGUGCAUAUAACAUCUACGCAUAAAACUAGGCUCUGAUACCACUGUUGGGGAACACAGUAAUUUCAAAAAAAAUCCUACGCACACGCAGGAUCAUGGUGAUGCAUAGCAAUGAGAGGGGAGAGUGUGUCCACGUAUCCUCGUAGACUGAAAGCGGAAGCGUUAGCACAACGCGGUUGAUGUAGUCGUACGUCUUCACGAUCCGACCGAUCCAAGUACUGAACUCACGGCACCUCCGAGUUCAGCACACGUUCAGCUUGAUAGCGUCCCACGAACUCCGAUCCAGCAGAGCUUCGAGGGAGAGUUCCGUCAGCACAAUGGCGUGAUGACGGUGAUGAUGAUGCUACCGACGCAGGGCUUCGCCUAAGAACUGCUAUGUUAUGACCGAGGUGGAUUAUGGUGGAGGGGGGCACCGCACACGGUUAAAAGAUCAAUGAUCAAUUGUUGUGUCUCCAAGGGGUGCCCCUCCCCAUGUAUAAAGGAGUGGAGGAGGGGGAGGGCCAGCCCUCUCUAUGGCGCGCCCUAGGGGAGUCCUACUCCCACCGGGAGUAGGAUUCCCCUUUCCUAGUAGAACUAGGAGCCCUUCCAAGUAGUAGGAGUAGGAGAGAAGGAAAGGGAAAAGAGAAGAGAAGGAAGGAGGGGGCGCCACCCCUCCCCCUAGUCCAAUUCGGACUAAGCAUUGGGGGGGCGCAGCCUCUCCUCUCUCUUUCCCCUAAAUCCUAAUAAGGCCCAUAUACUCCCCGGCGAAUUCCCGUAACUCUCCAGUGCUACGAAAAAUACCCGAAUCACUCGGAACCUUUCCGAUGUCCGAAUAUAGUCGUCCAAUAUAUCGAUCUUUACGUCUCGACCAUUGCGAGACUCCUCGUCAUAUCCCCGAUCUCAUACGGGACUCCGAACUACCUUCGGUGCAUCAAAACACAUAAACUCAUAAUACAUAUCAUCACCAAACGUUAACCGUGCGGACCCUAUGGGUUUGAGAAUUAUGUAGACAUGACCGAGACAUGUCUUCGGUCAAUAACCAAUAGCGGAACCUGGAUGCUCAUAUUGGCUCCUACAUAUUCUACGAAGAUCUUUAUCGGUCAAACCGCAUAACAACAUACGUUGUUCCCUUUGUCAUCGGUAUGUUACUUGCCCGAGAUUCGAUCGUCGGUAUCUCAAUACCUAGUUCAAUCUCGUUACCGGCAAGUCUCUUUACUCGUUUCUUAAUACAUCAUACCGCAACUAACUCAUUAGUUACAAUGCUUGCAAGGCUUAUAGUGAUGUGUAUUACCGAGUGGGCCCAGAGAUACCUCUCCUACGAUCGGAGUGACAAAUCCUAAUCUCGAAAUAGGCCAACUUAACAAGUACCUUCGGAGACACCUGUAGAGCACCUGUAUAAUCACCCAGUUACAUUGUGACAUUUGAUAGCACACAAAGUGUUCCUCCGGUAAACGGGAGUUGCAUAAUCUCAUAGUCAUAGGAACAUGUAUAAGUCAUGAAGAAAGCAAUAGCAACAUACUAAACGAUCAAGUGCUAAGCUAACGGAAUGGGUCAAGUCAAUCACAUUAUUCUCCUAAUGAUGUGAUCCCGUUAAUCAAAUGACAACUCAUGUCUAUGGUUAGGAAACUUAACCAUCUUUGAUUAACGAGCUAGUCAAGUAGAGGCAUACUAGUGACACUAUGUUUGUCUAUGUAUUCACACAUGUAUUAUGUUUCCGGUUAAUACAAUUCCAACAUGAAUAAUAAACAUUUAUCAUGAAAUAAGGAAAUAAAUAAUAACUUCAUUAUUGCCUCUAGGGCAUAUUUCCUUCAAAUCAGUGCGGUGUCAAGCCGCAAGAUGAUUAAGUGGCAGCUAUUCACCACAUGGCAGACAUUCCCUAUAGAGAAGCCUACAGAUGACACCCGUCCUGCGAUGUAUCAAGAGAAUAGGUGCGGAGCUAUCUAGAUAGCCCGACAGGCCUUGCCGGGCGCCCAGUGAUGUGACACUAAGCGGUGCAUUUAAUGCAAUCUGUCAGCCCGCAGAGUUACGUAUGAUAGCACUAUUUGCUAUCAUAUCAGUGGAUAAUGACCACUUUGCCACUGUGGUGACCUCUUAAUCUAUAAAAGGAGGCCCAGGGCACUCGGAGGAGGGGUUAGAAGGUUGUAAAUUUGACAACCCCAAGCCACCACACACACGUAGUCGCCACGGGCAAACCUUGCCGCGCAAGUGUACUACGCACCACCACAUUCAUUCUUCCAUCAAUCCACUAAAGCCGGAGUAGUGUCUUACGCCCCGCGUCGGCCCGAACCUGGGUAAAUCGAUUGUGGGCUCUUUGUCGCUCUACCGUACGCUGGUCUGCUCUUUGUGCAAUGCGUCGUCCCCCUGUCGAACCAAUAAGGGGCCACCCGGUCCCAUAGGUGGCCUCGGAAAUCCCUGACAUCUUUGGCCUGCCAGGUAGGGGGGCGCUUGCGCACAUGACGAGGAGUCUCGAAAUGGUCGAGAAGUAAAGAUUGAUAUAUUGGAUGACUAUAUUUGGACACCGAAUGAGUUUCGGGGGCAAACCUGAAAGUGUACGUCGUGCGUCAUCUUCAUCGACAUUUUCAUCCUCAACGGCGCCAUCGACCAUGACGCCCAAGAAGAAAUCUCGCACCUCAUCCCAUCCAUCCACCUUGAAGGCUCCUCCGCCGGCGGCUGAUACGUCUCCAACGUAUCUAUAAUUUAUGAAGUAUUCAUGUUGUUAUUUUCUCAUUCUUGGAUGUUUUACAAUCAUUUUAUAGCAACUUUAUAUCAUCUUUUGGGACUAACCUAUUGACCCAGUGCCCAGUGCCAGUUGCUGUAUCGCAGAAAACCAAUAUCAAAUGGAGUCCAAACACCGUGAAACUUUUUGUGGUUUUUUUAUGGGCCAGAAUAAUCCCGAUGGGCCAAAGCAGCACCUGGGGGGUGCCCCGAGGGGGGCACAACCCACCAAGGCGUGCCAGGCCCCCCUGGUGCACCCAGGUGGGUUGUUCCCACCUCGGUGGCCUCCCGUUCCCCUUCUUUGCACUAUAAAUUCUAAAAUAACCUGAAACCCCUCAAGGUUAACCUAGAUCAGAAGUUCCGCCGCCGCAAGGCUCCGUAGCCACCAAAAACCAAUCUAGACCGGUUCUGGCACCCCGUCGGAGGGGGGAAUCAUCUCCGGUGGCCAUCUUCAUCAUCCCGGCGGCCACCACGAUGACGAGGGAGUAGUCCACCCUCGGCGCUAAGGGUUUGUACCAGUAGCUAUGUGAUUUAUCUCUCUCUCUCUCGUGACCUAUAUCAUGGGCUUUGUUAAUAUAGUCGGAUCAUAUGAUGUUGCUCCCCUCUAUACUCUUGUUGUGAUGAAUUGAGUCUUUAUCCUUUGAAGUUUUGUCUUGUCGGAUUGAAUAUUCAGAUAUGAGAACACAUGAUAUAUGUCUUGCUGUAUGAAUACUUGAGGUGACAAUUGGGGUCUCUUAUUGAUUCACUUGACAUAUGUUAUGGCAUUCAACUCGCGGAUUCCCGCGGUGAUAUUGGGGUAAUCUAUGCAUAGGGGUUGAUGCACGUUUUUAUUAUAUUUUCUCUAAUAGAAACUUUGGGGUCUCUUUAUAGUUCUUUGUGUGGAUUGAGUAUUAUGAAUAUGAAUUUCCUUUGGUGUUAUUCUAGUACGAACUCUAGGAUAGAUCAAACGGAAAAAAUAGCUUUGCGUUAUUUUAGUACGAACUCUUGAAUAGAUCGAACAGAAAAAAUAGCUUUGAGGAGGUUUCGUACCCUACAAACAAUUCCUAUCUUUUGUUCUCCGCUAAUAGGAACUCGGGAGUGAUUCUUUGCUGCACUUUGAGGGAUAAUUAUAUGAUCCAACUAUGUUAGCACUUUUGAGACAUUGCGCUAGUGAAAGUAUAGACCCUAGGCCUUGUUUUUAAGCAUUGAAACUCCGUUUUUGUGCCCAUUUACUAUUUGUUACCUUGCUGUUUUUAUUUAUUCAGAUUAUAAAAAUAUAUUUCUACCAUCCAUACUACAUUUUUAUCGCCAUCUCUUCGCCGAACUAGUGCACCUAUACACUUUUCCAUUGUAUUAGGUGUGUUGGGGACACAAGAGAUUUCUUGCAGGGUUGUUUGAGAGAGACCAUCUUCAUCCUACACCUCUCAUGGAUUGAUAAACCUUAGGUCAUCCACUUGAGGGAAAACUGUUACUGUCCUACAAAACUCUGCGCUUGGAGGCCCAACAUGUGUCUACAAGAAUAAAGUUGUGUAGUAGACAUCAAGCUCUUUUCUAGCGCCGUUGCCGGGGAGGUGAGUGCUUGAAGGUAUAUCUUUAGAUGUUGCGAUUGAAUCUUUUGGUUUCUUGUUUUAUCACUAGUUUGGUUUAUAAAAGAAAACUACAAAAAAUGGAAUGUUGCAUCAUAUUAUUGAUCAUCUUUAUAAUAUCUUUCUUGAAAAUGAUGGAUCGGAAAAUUAUGCUCAAUUGUUAGAAGAAGAAGUCAAUAAACUGCUUGGCACAAAAUAUUUGAAUGAUGAGCAUGAUUGCAAUGUUGUUAAUAGAAAUUGUUUGAAUAUCCAAAAUGCUAAUGAUAAUUGCACAAGUCAUGCCAAAAAUGUUUCUUAUAAGCAUGUCACUUUUUGCGGAGUGAAUUUGGAGUGCCUUUGCACACCAAAAGGGAAGAUAGAUUUUGUAAGAAGCAUAAAUAUUUAGAAACGAAAAAGUUGCAAGAGAGGCUAGAUGAUUGUGCUGAAAGAUUUAUUUUUUUGCCAUCCUUGUGAACUUUGCGAUGAAUGUGGUCAUUUAAAUCUCCAAUGCAAUUUCUUUCAUGAUAAAAUUGUGUCCAAAAAUUGUGAUAACUUGAUUACCCUCGAGCAUCAUAAAGAGCUUAGUCUUCUUUUGGGGUAUGAAGAAAUGAACCGUAUAACUAAGGGUAUUCCAAAAUUUAAUCUUGAGAGAUUUCUUGAUUUUGAUCUAGAGAAAAUUUAUAUGUUUUGUACGGUAAAUUGCAUUGAGAAUCCUUAUAUUGCCAAUUAUCUAAAGUUAAUAAAACAAAUGGAAUAUGAAGAGAGUACUAAUGAAAGGGAAAAUAUUUCCCAAUACUCUCCUAGUGUUUAUUAUGAUGAAUCAGGUAACGAGGAGGAGCUUCCUAUCCAAUCAAUCUCUUCAACAAGAAGCUUGAAAGAAUUAAUUAAACCAACACAUGAUGUGGUGAAGAAGAAGAAAAGAAGAAAGAAUAGAGGUAAAAGGGUAUCUCUCCCAAAUAAUGUUGCUCCCAUCACCAUUGUGCCUCAUGAAAGUGAAUCAAAUAUGUUGAUGGAGGAUGAUGGUAUUGAUGACAAUUUUGUUAUGCCUAUUGCUUGGUGUGAUGAUUAUUAUUGGGAAGGCAACGAUAUCCCUUAUGAUCUUGAAAAUCUUUUUAGCACUUGGUUGGAAGAAUAUGAUAAUAAUGUUUGCUAUACUAUUGGUGCCAUUCAUGCUAUUGAUAAGAAUGAUUGUGAUGAUAUGCAAAACCACAAGCUUGGGGAUGCUAUGUUUAAUGAGUAUGAAAUGUUUGAAGAUUUAUUUGCUAGAAAUAAUGCUUGUCCUAAGCUUGGGGAUGCUUUGCUUAAUGAAUAUGAUCCUUUGAUUCCUUCUACUUUCGAUAAGAAAAAUUAUUAUGAUGAUAGCAUGCCUCCUAUUUAUGAUGAUUACAUUGAUGAAAGUGGGUUUGGAAGAGUGUCAACUCUAGGUAGUAGUGAUCCCACUAUUUUGGAGGGUGUUGAAUCUUAUUAUAAUAUUGAUGUAAGUGGAUUUGGAGAGGUCAUGACUUUAUUUAGUGAUACAUCCACUAUUUUGGAAGAGGUUUCAAUUGAUUAUGACAAUGAAGUUGCUAUCUAUGAUGAUUAUUAUGAUGACAUCUAUGCCCUAAAGAGUGAUAAAUCGUCUAUGCUUGUGCAUCAUGAAAAGAGUGUUGUAUGUGAUGGUUAUAUUGUUGAAUUCAUUCAUGAUGCCUCUGAAAAUUAUUAUGAGAAAGGAACUUAUGCCCUUACAUAUCUCAAAAAUAUCAAGUUUCUUCUCUAUGUGUUGAUUGUUUUGAAGUUGCACUUGUUUUGCCUUCCUAUGCUAGCUGAUUCUUGUUCCCAUAAGUUGUUUGCUCACAAAAUCCCUAUGCAUAGGAAGUGGGUUAGACCUAAAUGUGCUAGUCAUAUGCUUCAUCAUCCUCUAUUUACAUUUCAAUUCUUAUCUUUUAUGCGAGCAUCAUUAAAAUCAUCAUGCCUAGCUUAAAAGGCAUUGAAGAAAAGCGCUUGUUGGGAGACAACCCAACACUUUUACCUACUGUUUUGUGUGUUCACAUGAUUAUGAUACUGUAGUAAUCAUGUUUUAUUGCUUUUGUUUCAAUAAAGUGCCAAGUAAAGCCUUUAGGAUUUUGUUGGGUGAUAGUUGCUUUGAUCUUGCUGAAAAACAGAAACUUUUGUGCUCACUAAAAUAAUUCUAGUUUUAAUAGAAGAGUGCUAUUGAGUUGAUUAUUUUUUUUUGAAGAUUAAUAUACAAAUUUCUCAGGUUUUCCUAGUUUUUCAGAUUUUUUGGAGUAGCAGAAGUAUGGUUUGAGUACAGAUUACUACAGACUGUUCUGUUUUUCACAGAUUCUGUUUUUAAUGCAUGGUUUGCUUGUUUUCUAGUUUCUAUGGCUUAUAUUGCUUAAUAUAAAUUGUAGAAAUGAUAUGAUACAGUAGGCAUUGUGUGGAAACAAUUAUGAAUCUUGUCUUUGACAGUACCAAAAGUGGAAUGGUUUGCUCUUUAUCAUACUAACUUAUCUCACAAAGUUCUGUUAAGUUUUGUGUGAUUGAAGUUUUCAAGUUUUGGGUGAGAUAUCGAUAUGAGGAGAAUAAGGAGUGACAAGAACCUAAGAUUGGGGAUUCCCAAGGCACCCCAAGGUAAUAUUCAAGGAAGAUCCAAGCUACUAAGCUUGGGGAUGCCCCAGAAAGCAUCCCCUCUCUCGUCUCCAACAUUAUCAGUAACCUCACUUGGAGCUAUGUUUUCAUUCGUCACAUGAUAUGUGUUUUGCUUGGAGCGUCAAUUUAUUUUGUUAGUAUUUGCUUCAUGUUAUUUAUAAUAAUGUUUUGCAUCUUUUAUUUCAAUAAAAGUGGCAAUGACAGCCUUUGCCAUGGUUAUUUUGCAAGUAUACAUGUUGCUGUUUGAAAACAGAAAGUUUACCGUUGUUGCAAAAAUUCCCUAGAAAAGUUAGAAUGUUAUAAAAUGUUGAAACUUUUUGCAAAAUGAGAUCUGAUAAAUUUUAUAUAGUGUGGUAAAUUUUCAUAAUUUUUGGAGUUAGGGAAGUAUUGAUACUCUUGCAUUCUUUAUAGAUUGUACUGUUUUGGCAGAUUGCUGUUACGUUUGCAUUGUUUGCAUAUGUUUGCUUGUCUAAAGAUUCUAUUUGAGGAUAGGAGUAUUAAAUAUGUAGAGUAAUUUAGUAUGAAAUGUUGAAUAAUAAUUUUAGUGAUUUUCUACAGUAGAGAAUGAUAAGGUUUUUGCAUUGGUUUAUACUAACUUAUCUCACGAGUUCUUGUUGAGUUUUGUGUGGAUGAAGCUUUUGAGAUUUAGGAAAACCAUGCUAUAAAAGGAAUUAAGGAGACAUUAAAGCUCAAGCUUGGGGAUGCCCAAGGCAUCCCAAGUUAAUAUUUCAAGAAUUCUCAAGAAUCUAAGCUUGGGCAUUCCCCGGUAGGCAUCCCGCCUUUCUUCUCCAACAAUUAUCGGUUAGUAUCGGUUGAGCCUAAGUUUUUGCUUCUUCACAUGAUGUGUGCUAUCCUUGGAAUGUCAUUUUAUUUUUCUUUUCUUGCUGUUUUAAUAAAAUACUUAGAUCUGAAAGUUUUUAAAUAUAAUAGAGUCCUCAAAUAGUUGCCAGAGAGGCUAAGUAAGCGGCAUUCACAUCCCGUCAACGAAGCUCUUUUCUAUGUCAUUUACUCUUGUGCUUCACUUAUAUCCUAUGAGUAAAUUGUUGAAUAAAUUGAAUGUCAUGAAGUUGAAAUCAUAUCAUGCCUAGUGGUAGCUUCACAUUGGGUUUAGAAAGUGAAAUGUUUUGAGGCUUGACAAUCACAAUAUUGGUCAUACAAGCAAUUCACGAAUAAUUAGUAUAAGGAAGAGAACUUUCACAUGCAAAUACACUAUCAUAGAAAUCUUUUGUGGUUGUGAGCCCCCCAUCAAAAUAUUAUAUGCCAAAAUUGUUGACGUUGGACAAGAAAGACAACGUAAUGGUUUAUGUUUGUUCAUAUUCACAUAGAAGUUAUAUUGUCAUAGAUCCUUCAACAUGUGGUGCUUGCCCCCCAUCUUUGCUAGCCAAAAAGUCCGCACCAAGUAGAGAUACUACUUGUGCAUCCAAAAACCCUUAAACCCAAAUCUUAUUUUCAAGAGUCCACCAUACCUACCUCAGGAUUGAGCAAGAUCCUUCAAGUAAGUUGUCAUCGGUGCAAUAAGGCAAUAAAAAUUGCUUCUAAAAGUGUAAGAUCAUUUAGUGUAGGAGAAAAUUGAGCGUUGUACGAACUUGUGAUGGUAAAGCAAUAAAAGCGACAGACUACAUAAUAAAGGUUGCUAUCACAAGGGGCAAUAUAACGUGACGUUCUUUUGCAGUAAGGGAUUGAGCAUACAAACAAAUAAGCGCAUGGCAACCUCUGCUUCCCUCUACGAAGGGCCUAUCUUUUACUUUUCAGUAUUUACUUUUAUGCAAAGAGUCAAAGUAUUCCUCUCUAUUCCUUUUUAUUUUCUCUUUUGGUAAGCAUCAUGUGGUGAGGAAAGAUCUAGGCACAUAUGUCCAGUUGAAUAUGGGUAGCAUGAGUUAUUAUUGUUGACAUAACCCUUGAGGUUAGUACGUUGGGAGGCAAAAUAAUAAGCCCCUAUCUUUCUAUGUGUCCGGUUGAAACGUUUUGCUCAUGUGUACAAGGUGAGUGUUAGCAAUCAUAGAAUACUAUAUGAUGGUUGAGUAUGUGGAGGUCUUACUUAAACUCUGUUGAAUAAGUUCAAUUGCAAUUUCUUGGUGACUAAGAACAUAGGUUGUUGGGUUUCAAGAGAAUUCAUUGUUUGAACCUUAACAUGUGAAUUGGUUGCCACCAUAACAUGAGAAGUUUCAUAAGAAAGAAUUGUUGUUAUGAUGCUAGGAAAAGUGAUUGAAAUUAUCAUUGAUCAAACUUGUCCACUUUGCUAGCAUUCACACUUCAUAAAUUAUUUCUUUUAUCAUUUACCUACUUGAGGACGAGUAAGAAUUAAGCUUGGGGAUGCUGAUACAUCUCCAACGUAUCUAUAGUUUACGAAGUAUUCAUGCUGUUAUUUUAUCAUUCUUGGAUGUUUUACAAUCAUUUCAUAGCAACUUUAUAUUAUUUUUUGGGACUGGCCUAUUGACCCAGUGCCAGUUGCUAUUUUUUCUUGUUUUUUACAUCGCAAAAAAUCAGUAUCAAAUGGAGUCCAAACACCGCGAAACUUUUUGUGGAUUUUUUAUGGGCCAGAAGACUCCCGAUGGGCCAAAGCAGCACCUGGGGGUGCCCCGAGGGGGGCACAACCCACCAGGGCGCGCCAGGCCCCCUGGCGCGCCCAGGUGGGUUGUGCCCACCUCAGUGGCCUCCCAUACCCCUUCUUUGCACUAUAAAUUCCCAAAUAUUCUGAAACCCCUCGGGGUUAACCUAGAUCAGAAGUUCCGCCGCCGCAAGGUACCGUAGCCACCGAAAACCAAUCUAGACCUAUUCCGACACCCUGCCGGAUGGGGGAAUCAUCUCCGGUGGCCAUCUGCAUCUUCCCGGCGGCCACUACAAUGAGGAGGGAGUAGUCCGCCCUCAGGGCUGAGGGUUUGUACUAGUUGCUAUGUGAUUUAUCUCUCUCUCUCAUGACCUAUAUCAUGGGCUUUAUUAAUAUAGUCGGAUAAUAUGAUGUUUCUCCCCUCUAUACUCUUGUUGUGAUGAAUUGAGUCUUUACCCUUUGAAAUUUUGUCUUGUCGGAUUGAAUAUUCGGAGAUGAGAACACAUGAUAUAUGUCUUGCGGUAUGAAUACUUGAGGUGACAAUUGGGGUAUCUUAUUUAUUCACUUGAUAUAUGUUAUGGCAUUCAACUCGCGGAUUCCCGCGGUGAUAUUAGGGUAAUCUAUGCAUAGGGGUUGAUGCAUGUUUUUAUUAUCUUUUCUCCGACAGAAACUUUGGGGUCUCUUUAUAGUUCUUUGUGUGUAUUGAGUAUUAUGAAUACAAAUUUGCUUUGGUGUUAUUCUAGUACGAACUCUAGGAUAGAUCGAACGAAAAAAAACAACUUUGUGUUAUUUUAGUACGAACUCUUGAAUAGAUCGAACAGAAAGAAUAGCUUUGAGGAGGUUCCGUAGCCUACAAACAAUUCCUAUCUUUUGUUCUCCGCUAAUAGGAACUCGGGAGUUAUUCUUUGCUGCACUUUGAGGGACAAUUAUAUGAUCCAACUAUGUUAGCACUAUUGAGAGAUUGCACUAGUGAAACUACAGACCCUAGGCCUUGUUUUUAAGCUUUAAAACACCAUUUUUUGCCCGUUUACUAUAUGCUACCUUGCUAUUUUUAUUUAUUCUGAUUAUAAAAAUAUAUUUCUACCAUCCAUAUUACACUUUUAUCACCAUCUCUUCGCCGAACUAGUGCACCUAUACAAUUUGCCAUUGUAUUGGGUGUGUUGGGGACAUGAGAGAUUUCUUGUAUUUGGUUGCAGGGUCGUUUGAGAGAGACCAUCUUUAUCCUACACCUCUCACGGAUUGAUAAACCCUAGGUCAUCCACUUGAGGGAAAAUUGCUACUGUCCUACAAAACUCUGUGCUUGGAGGCUCAACACGUUUCUACAAGAAUAAAGUUGCGUAGUAGACAUCAACGACCUCCAACGCCGCGGGGGACACGGGGGCUCGCAAGGAUGUGGACGCCGCUAGGGGAGUGGUCAGAGCAGGUGGCACUGUUACCGCCUCCCCCGCGACUGACACAGGGGCCAGAGCAUCGAAGGAGAACAACAUCAGCAGCCUCUCAACGGUCAAGUUCUGCAAGGUGCGGGCGAGGGGGUCACUCCAUCCCCCCCCUUCUCACCGACUAGCAUAGCCGCAGCAAUGGUGCUUGGUCCGGGGUGAGCCAUCGGCCUCCUCCCAUACGAGCCAACCAGGCCGCUGCGCUCAACGGAGCUGCUGAUCCUCGAGCACCACCGCCGCGUGACCACGUUGCCCCAGUGGUUGCCCCACCGCAGCGUGGGCGGGCUGCCGCUGCCGCCGCUGCCACUGGCACCAUCCAGAGCCAGGCGACGGUGUGGUCGACGUCAUCGACAUCCAUGCCAAGCACGGCCACGGAGGCCAUGGCACGAGCUCAGUUAUUACUGAGGUUCCUGCCAGCAACCGAGCAGAUGGAUGAGUGGCGUGCCACCAAAAGCCUGCUCGGUUUCGCCGAAGAUGGGGGCUCACGACGAGCUUGCCCACUACAACCUCCCCAAGCAACAGCCACCGCCCGCGCCGCUAGCCAUAUGAAGGGGCCAUCCCCACGGUUCAGUCCCCACCACGGCAGCCGACGAGAACGAAGCAGAAUCAAGACCCCAACGACGUCUCCAUGGCCUCUUCUGACCCUCGAGCAUGUCCAAGCCAAUGUCGAACCCCGGAAAACAGGCAACGGUGGGACGUGCGUGCCGUCGCCGAACAGCGCCGCAAGAUCCCCGCUAGACCGACGGGUGUGACGACCUCAACGUUGACGAGCCUGUGCUCGGUGUUGACAGGUGCCUACCCUUCGAGGUUGGAUGCCCUAACUUUACAUGAGAGCUGCGGCAAGUUUGUUGGCCGUCCGUUCGCAUGUUCAAGCCAGAGAUACCUGAGAAGUACGACGGGAGGCUGAACCCGGCAGAGUUCCUGAGCAUCUACACCAUUGUUGUCCAGGCUGCCGGGGGAAGAGAUGAGAAGGUUUUGGCCAACUACUUCCCUUUGGCCCUCAAGUCCAACGUGAGGUCUUGGCUGAUGCACUUGCUGGAGAACUCCAUUUCGUCAUGUGCAGACCUGUGCCACGAGUUCAUCGGUGCCUUCACCGGUGGCCACCAAGAGCCCGACAGGCCCAGUGACCCAUAGAUUCUCCAACAGAAGGAAGUAGAAACUCUCCGUAAGUAUUCGCAGAGAUUCAGUAGAGUUUAUAGAAAUAUUCCAAAUAUCCAUCCGGCAGCUUUUAUAGCAGCUUUCCUGUCCGAUGUGCGCAACUGCCGCAUUCGUUCCAAAAUGAAUGUGUGGUUGCCCAAGGCUGUGAAAGAACUAUAUACACUAGUGGACAAAUGUGCCCGGAUGGAAGAAGGAAGGAAGUUGCUCGGAGAGGAAGAUUGCAUUAAUGUUGAUACACAUGAUGAGGAUGAAUCAACCAGUUAAAAGAAAGGCAAGAAGCACAGUAAGAAGCCAAGAGAUAAGGCAGUUAUGACUGUAGAGGGUUCAGGCACACCUAGUACCGGCAAGAAGGCCAAGGCUGAGGCCCCCGACAAGGAAGCUGCCAUGUUCACUGUGUGCCGGGAGGCCGUUGGCACGGAAAAAGUUGGGAAAGGUGAUGGGCCGUACUGCAAGAUCCACCAGACCAAAGGCCACGACCUUCAGGAGUGUUAUCAGGUUGACCUGCUUGUCAAGAGACAGAGGGAAGAAUAUGACAAGCGUGAUAAGUAGAAAGGUCAGGAUGCUGUUGGCGGUAAGGGCCGAGGCGGUGAAGCAAAUCGCCCCCGACAAUCCCUUUCGGAACCAAGGAAAGCCUGCUAGGGGCCAAGAGAAGGAAACCUAUCACUACAAACAAAAUACACUUCCGUGAUGAUACAUGUUUGUCAUAGUAGGUCACGUUUUCUGUCAUGCAUGUAUAUCCAUGAUGAUUUUAUGAUAGAAUCAUGAUAGUCAUACAUGUGCUAUCGUAGAAGUGUUCCAUGACAUUACCAAAAUUAUCAUCGCGGAAGUGUCCACUUCCAUGACGAUAAAUCGCGCGUAAUAGAAGUGCUUUCAUCAAGGGUGACCGACAUGUGGCACCCACCGUAACGGGUCGCCGUUAAGCUAUGGGGUCCGGUUUUGGAUCCGAUAACCUGUUAACAGACCGGACCAUUGAGGAUUUUCCUCGUGUAAAAUUGUCAUUGGCCGGAGGAAACACGUGUUAGCUCACCGUUGGGACAGAUGUCAUCCAUUCAUUGGACAAGAGGCACCUAUGAUACGUCGACACGUGGCACGACCCAACAAAGGCCCAUUCAGGUGAAAAGUCCGGCCCAUUUGACUUGGUCAAAAGGUAACGGGCCGGCCCAUGAAAAGCCUGUUAACGGCCUGCUCGUAUAUAGCCCAUUUAUGGCCCGCUAACUCACGACCCAUUACGGCCUAUCGGAAUUAAGCCCAGUAGUUUCAUCUGGGCCAUCCAAUAUGAUUCCAGCCUGUUGUAACUUCCAGCCCAUGUAUGGCCCAUGAUGUCUUUCGGCCCAUACAAGGCCAUUUGUAACUCUUGGCCCAUUAACGGCGCAUGGUGAAUCUGGCCCGCAAUGAACAGUGUACUGAUUUAUCCCCAUUAACGGCCCAUUAUUCCAUUGGGCCGUUUGCAACCCGUGUUAUCUUUCGGCCUUCUCAGGGCCCAUUUAUUCUUGGGCUUAUUUCCAGAAUUUGGUUACUUACGGCCCGUUACUGGCCUUUUCUGCUUGUGGGCCAAACUCAGCCCAUGGUUACAAUCAGCCCGUUUGCGGCCCGUUAAUCCAUUGGGCCGUUUUUAUAGCGUCAUCAAAUAUGGCCGAUUAAUGUAGACCCGUUAUGGUUGGCCCAUGAACGGGCGAUUCCAAAUCUAGCCCAUUUAUGGCCCAUAAUGCGGUAUGUUGUUGGCCCAUGUUUGGUCGAUUGAUGCUAUGGCCCAUAGAAGGCCCAUUGUUUAUACGGCCCUUAGAAGGCACAUUGUUUCUGUGGCCCAGAGGAAGCCCAUGGUAACUACAAUAAAUAUGUAGCCCAUGGUUAUUGUGGCCUAGUUUUAAGAAAUAGGUUAUUGAGGCCACUAGCAAACCGCGGAAAAAGAACUGCACUGACCACAAGCAAACAAAUAAACAAGACAACAAAGAAAUAAAUAAGCAAGCAACUUACACUAGGCUAUCACGGCUAUUGCACAUAUUACAUCCACUGGGCAUCAAAGUUCGCCACUAGUGCAAAUAUAGGGAACAAAGCCGCAUAUCAUAUACACUGGUGUCAAAGUUGGCGACCAGUGCAAAUAAACGCCACAGCAAAACAAGUCCAGAACUGAAACCACUUCAAAAGAGCUCAAGAAACAAUACCCUGGGUACACAUAAUGCUGGCAUGAUGCUUAGCAAGCUUAUUAACUUUCUCUUGUUUGGCGCUUAAAUCCUCCAGCGCUUGUUGUUGCACCGGAAAGUAUGCAUCUGAAUUCUGCAGGGACUUUCUCAGUCCUUCAGCUUCCUGUCGCAGCACAUCUGAUCGAUGCCUUUCAACUUGAAGUUGAGACUCAAGAAGACGAACUGAUUAAGGCAGCGAGUUCGAAGAGCUUGUGCCAGUAGUAGUGGCCAGUAACUCCAACACUACAUCAAGACAAGACUUUUGGGUUCUCUCACUAUCGUCAAGAUAAUUUUUAUCAGCUUUCUUCGAGACCAACAGGGAUGUGCCACUAUCUUGAACCUUAUCUGCAUUACUUCCUUUACCAUUGCAUAAUGGGGUACUAUUCUUCAAUAUUUUCUCCGCAUUCUAAAAAAUAAACAAGCAGACACAUCACGGGUUUACCAUGUUGUAUAUGAAACUCAUUUUGGUAAAUUAGUUCAGUAGUAAAGUGGAUAGGAUAACAGCAUGAAACAAACAUAUAUCUAUGUACCAUGGUCACUUUAUGGUCUAUAUCAUUCUAGUUUUGUUGCCAAAUCAAGAUAGAGACACAGUUCAAAUAAUAUUUGUUGAAGACAAAGCAAAAUAGAUAGAAUAUAAGUGUGGGAAACUAUAGAGCAAUAACAACACUUUAAUGUGCAUGGCAUGAGAACAUAACUGUUUAUUCAAUUGAAACUGAAAUCAACAUAGAGCAAGUUACAACAGCAAACCAGUUAAAGAAACAGGUUUAAAACAUACCUGUUGUGCCAUUGGAGUUCCAAUUCCAUCCUUCAAAUUUGAAAAUAGUUGGUAUGAGUAAAUACAGUGAUGCAAGAGCAAAGGAGUAUGAACCAUAGCUACAGAACCUGACUUGGGAACAAUUCUUCUUCUCCUUUAAGCGUUGAGUUGGGAUUCAGAGUGGUGGUCUCGUGCUUUGGGCACUGCAGUUCCCUUACUAACUGCUCAUGUUUGGGUGCUCUGUGGUGGAGACGGUGUUGUGUCAACUAGAACUGGGUUACUAUCUGCUGGGUUUGGGGUUAGAAGGGGUGUAGCUGGUUCUCUUUCCAUCUGGGUAGGGGUACAAUCUGUGAGAGUCUGGGUUAUGUGUGGUGGGGCUGGUUCUUGGGCAUGUACAACCGUGAUUCUAUCUGCAUCAAGUGGUAGCACUAUCUUUUCUGAAGACCGUGUUGUUACUCCCUUAGAUACUGCCAUCACCCUCUCCAAUUCAAAUGGCUGAUAAACAAGAAAAGUAAUUGAAUGUACAAACAUUGUAUGAUAGACAGGUGCAAUGGAUAGUGGGGAAUAAAAGAGGGCAUGAAAUAAUUCACAGUUAUGUUGUCUAAACAAAUAGGAUAGCAUGACACAGUUUGACAUAUAUGAUGCCUAACUAAACAGGAUAGCAUGACACCAUUUCACAUUAUGAUGGCUAACUAAAAAAUAUGGAAAGGCAUAGUUCAAAAUAUGAUGACUAUGUAAACAGGAUGACAUGAUAUAAAUAUAUAAUGUGUUUAUUAAAUAGGUUGGCAUGCCAUAAUUCACAUACAUGCUGCCUAUGGAAACAUGAUAGCAUGAUAUAAUUCACGGAUAGAAUGACAUAAUUCAAAAUAUGAUGACUGUAAACACUAAACAGGAUGAGAUGAUAUAACUAUAUGAUGUCUUUAUUAAAUGGGUUGCCAUGCCAUAAUUCAGAUAGAUGCUGUGUAUGUAAACAUGAUGGCAUGAUAUAAUUCAAAUAUAUGAUUUAUAUAGUAAGCAAGGAAGUAGAUGGCAAUCCAUAUAUGAUGUAAAAACUAAGCAAUGCAAGACAACAUGCAUGACAAGGGUAAUAUAACCCUGCCAAGUUUGAGCAUAGACCUCAGGGGGGAAAUAGGACUGGUCAUCAGUCUCUGAAUCCUCCUUUGAGGAGCUCUUUGUAACCAACAAGAUGUCUGCUUCAACAGGUAGCAUUGUCUGCUCUGAAUACCUUGUUUUCACUCCAGAUACUUCCAUCACCGCUUCAAAUGGCUGAUGCACAGGAAGAGUAGUUGAAUAUACAAACGUUGUCGACAAAUGAAACAUGUAAUACAAAAAAAUGAUAGCAUGAUAUAAUUCACAUACAUGAUGAUUGGCUAAACAACAUGGCAUUGCAUAAUUCGCAUAUAUAAUGCCUUUGCAACAAGAUAGCAUUGCAUAAUUCACAUAUAUAAUGUCUUGCAACAAGAUGACAAUGCAUAAUUCACAUAUAUGGUAAUUAGACACUAAACAGGUGGCAUUCACACAAAGCAUGUCUAAACUAAUCAAAUGACAUAGCAAUGCAAGACACCAUACGCACGAUAUAAGCAACAUAACCCUGCCAAGUUAGAGCAUACACCUCGGGCGGGAAAUAGGACUGGUCAUCUAUCUCUGAAUCCUCCUGUGAGGAGCUAUCCGUAACCAGCGAGAUAUGCGCUUCGUUAGAUAGCAUAACCCUGCCAAGUUAGAGCAUACACCUCAGGGAGGAUAGGACUGGUCAUCAGUCUCCAGAAUUUUCCAUCAUUGUGUCAAAUGGCUGAUGCACACGAAGAGUAGUUGAAUGUACUAACAUUGUUGAAAAAUGUAGUACAUAGCAGAAAAAAGGAUGGCCUGAUAUAAUUCACAUAUAAGAUGACUGGCUAAGCAAGAUGGCAUUGCAAAAAUCACAUAUAUGAUGCCUGGCUAAACAAGAUGGCGUUGCAUAAUUCACAUAAACGACGAAUAAACUAAAUAGAUGGCAUUCACACAAAGCAUGUCUAAACUAAGCAGAUGACAUAUUUGAUGUAUAAAGUAAGCAAUGCAAGGCACCAUAUGCAUGAUAUAACCAACAUCAGCAUGCCAAGUUAGAGCGAAGACCUUAGGGGGUAAAUAGGAGUGGUCUUCUCCUUCUGAAUCCCGCUCGGAACAUAUAUCUUCCUCCUGAUUACAAUCUGAAAUGGGUGGAGGGGGGGCUGCCUUUGCACCUACCAUGGAGCGACAUAUGCAUGAAAUUUUAUUGCCACACAAGGCUCGUCUCUUUUGCUCUACAUGUUCAGUUCCAUUGUGUAUAAUAACUGGCACGUAUAGGAAUAAAACAUAGUGAGAUUAUGUAAGGAGUGCAUGUAGAAAUCCAGAGUGAUGGUAGCAACCUGUGGAUAGACCCAAAACCAAUGAUAGCAGGCAGAUAAUGGCUUAAGUUAAAAAAUAUAGAUAAUGGCUUCUUUACUGUUUGUUUCCCACCCAACAUGAAACUCAUAGUAGACACCAGAGAUUAACCAGAUAGUAGAUAGAUACUAUUGAUUACGACCCCGAUAUGUACCCCACAACCAUUUAAAAACUCAAGUUUGACCAUUAGUUUGGAGCUGACUCAGAGUCUAAUCAGUGAACAGGAUGAUAAAGUAGCAUGUAAUAUUAAGCGAUGCAUAACGUAAGCAGACACGAAAGAGUGUGACCUCUCUUGCGGACCCAUGUAGUCCUCGAGGUCAUCUGCUCGGUUGAUGAUGGUAAUGCAGUUGUCAUGGCUACCGGUGGCGGGGAAGAAGAUCUGAGGCGGCGAAAGACAGUCUAGAGGCCGGUUCCCUGCUGUGCUGGACCCUUCCAUCAUUGGAGCAGCUGAGCUGGGGUGGACGAUGGCGCAGCAGGAGCGGGACAAACCACACAAGGUUUUCUUUGACAACUAUUUGUAAGAGAAGUAAUUCUGUAAGGGCUCGUUUGAAUUGGAGGAUUCUGACAACACAGAGAUAGGAAAUACACAGUAAUAGGAUAGAAAUGCACAUGAAAAACAGAGAAUUUAAAAACACAAGAUUUCUGCCAAUCUCGGUGUUUGGUUCACAAGAAUUGGAAGAUCACAGAAUGCAAAGAAGCAUGGUGAGAUUAAGUCAAACCACAAGAAAAUGUAUGGUUAUAAUGCUAUUAUGCUACUAUCUCUUAGUCUUGUGCUUCAUGAAUAGGAAUUUGAAAAGGAGGACAAGUGGAUAUUAAAAUUCCUACGGUUUUUCUUUCAAGGAGACGCUAAAGGGACAAAUCCUACAGUUUUCCUUUACUCCAUUCCUUUGAACCAAAUGCAUGAAUAGUAAUACCAUAGGAAACUUUUCAAUUCCGAUGUUUUUCCUUCAGUUUUCCUUUCAAGCACUGGCCAUUCUAGUAGGAAGGCUUGAGCAAGGAAAAGCCUAUGCUCAAAAAAUGUUUUUGUGCUACUUCUACUACUUUGGACCCAUGCCACUGCCCUACUAGCUCAACUACCAGGCCCAUCGACAAAUGCAUAGCUCAAACAUGCAGAGAUAAAUAACGAUGGCGUUCAAGAGAGUCCAUCACGGAUAGGUUAGUUGUCUGGUACCUCACUGCUUGUCAUAUAGUAGGAGAAACUAAUCAUAUUUCACGUGACUACGUGUGCCCAGUGGACAAUAUAUAUAACAUGUAGAGUAAAAAAUAGAUGCAACAAGUGUACAACCUCUUUGGCGAAGCCAUGUUGAUCUCAGCGUGAUUGGGUUGGUCGGUGGGAAUGAUCCGGCUCACUUGGAUGUCGAAGGAGGGGAAGAAGAUCUUAGGCAUCUUGAGAUGGAGCCCGAGGUACUGCUCCGCUGUGAUGGAGGGUUUCGUCGUUGGAGCAGUUCCGGUGAGUUGUACGACGCCGAGGCUGAAGAGGACAACAGAGACAACGUUAACCUGAGUGGAAUUCUAAUAGCAUCUCCAAUAGAUGACGUAAAAUACAUAACCACAAAGUGCUAGAUGUAAAAUACAUUAACCGCUCAUCUCUGAACUUAGCUGUCGAAAUGAAUUUAACUGUCGAAACUGAAUUUAACUGUCGAAACUGAAUUUUGCUAUCGAAACUGAAUUUUACUGUCGAAACUGAAUGCACUAGUAGCAGAAAAGCAGUAGCAGCAGCGUGUGGGAGAGCCGGGGCAGCUGGUCGUGUAGCAGUUCAUCUUCAACCUCACUACACGAUGACAAAACUUUGGGGGCAAUCAACUGUCGGGAAAGGUUAAGAAUCCAUGUCAUCUUUACUGCCGGCAAAGAUUUAUCUGCCGAGAAAAAUAUUAUAGGGCAUCUUAACUGUCGGCAAUGGUUAACCUUGAAGGGCAGUUCAUCUGCUUGCAUGUUUACGGUCAGACUAUCUGCCUUGAAAAGUGAAUGACGGCAGAAUAUCAUUGCCCGUAUGCACGUCGGCGGGCCCCAAAACUUACGGCCCAAAAAGCACGCGAGGCCGCGGGAGACGUGAAACGGUAGAAGUUACUAGAAGCACCACGAAGCCCUAAUUAAUUUCCCCUUCACCGCAUCCACUCCUUCCCUCAGUCGCCACUCACCAUCCCCAAUUCCCCAUCUUUCUCGCGCUAGAAGCAGCACCGCCGCCUCCCAGUGCCGCCACCCUGGAUCCCCCACGCAUGCCGCCGCUCUAGAUCCCCACCCAUGCCUCCGCCUAGUGCUGUCGCCCCCGCAUCCACCACCCAUGGCGCCAUCUUCGGAUCCCCCAUCCACGCCGCCGUUGGAGGUCAGCGGCAAGUUCACAAGCGACCUUCGUGAACGGCCUGGCGAUCUUGCUUCCGUCCAUAGCACACAGUAGACGUUGGCGUCGGCAGGUUCGUUCACCAUGGCGGUUGCGCUGGUGGGGUGAGCCUGGCCUUCGAUGCGCUCUAACCGCCUUUCAACCCUCGUUGCGUGCUCCCGCCAUCACGGGCAGGCCUGUAGGUCUGGCGCCCACCACCUCUCUAUUCUUCUGCUUUCCACACCAUGUGUCUGUACGCUGCUCCCUCUUCUUCCUUUCUGUUCCUCUGUUCUGCUAACUGAAUGGUCCAGAUAAAGUUUAUUAUCGAGAGUUUUGCUGCAUGAUAACUAUUUUCUACGUACUAAAUAUGUUCCGUUUUCGUCUCUCUUUCCCUCUUGUUAAAAUCAUAUCCUCACUGCAGCUAUAGCUUAAUCAAUCAAAUUCAUAUGUCCUGUUUAGAAUUUCUGCAGCGAAAAAAGCCCUCUUAAUUCAAAUAAUAAUAAUUCUAGUUGUUGUUUAGAUAUUUUGUUGGCAAUUCUACAUAUACAUGGAGCCAAUAGAUGUGAUUGAAUAUGGGCUUUUGUGGGUCUGCUGUUCUUGGUUGUUCAGAAAUGCAUGGCUCAAGUUUGCUCUGUCUAUAAGCUUUGCAAUGCUGCAUGUUCAGGGAGCCAAUAGAUGUGACUGAAUAUAGAUGCUAGCUCAAGUUUGCUCUGACUAGAAGCUAGUACUGGCAAAUGUCGAUGUGGCCAGAUGACAUUGUGCCAAUUGAAUUUGAGUCAGCUAGUAGCAAUCUAGCAUAAAUAUUUUGCUCUCAAAUGCAGUUCUUUAGUUAUAUUUAAUCCCACAUGUUGUGCCCUGGUGUGUUUGUGAGAUACUGAGAUGUCUUGCUACUUUUAUUGCGCACGUAAGGUGGCCGGGAGCUUGUAAAACUGCAUGUCAUAUCUGAUGUUUGGAUAUAUGAUUUUAUUGUUUGACCCUCCCUGAAAGUACAUGGUCUCAUUAAAUUAUCUACAUUUAACAUGACAAGUUCCAGAAUAAGUGUAAUGAAUAUAUUUGAUUAGUAUAAAUAAGACGAUAUGUUCUAGAAUAUGAGGUAAUGACAGAUAACAUGCAUGCUUCUUAGACUGGCUUGCAUAUUUCGCUGUUAUGAACCUGAUAUACAUCAUUCGUAAAUGCUUAUAUCUUGCUAUUAUGAAAGUUAUAUGCUUUUUAAUGAUGUGAUGCAGUUGUAGUGGCGUGUAAUAUGUAUUCAUUGUAAUAUUUUCUUAGUUUUGGAGAUUGGUUAGUAUUUUGUGGUUGAUGGUUGUAGCUGGCUUUUUCUCCAAAAAUUUACAUCUGUACAAAUUGACCAGAAGUCCAGAAUAGUCUUAUACUUAGUCUUAUACUUAGCACUCCGAUCUUUGUAGAAAAACCUUACUGGGUCCAAAGCUGUCCAGAUGCAUGGUGAAUGAUGGCUGAGAUGUGGUUCACAUGAAAUGAAAAGAAAAUUCUUGUGCUUGCAGGGAGCGGAAGCGGAUGUUAUUGUGGUCACCGUUAAGAGAGUGCUUUUUUGGCCCACUACCAAAGAAAAAUGGUGGGUUCCCACUUGAUUAAAACUAUCAUUUUUGUUCUUUUUUUCCAGAAAAGGCAAAACCGCUCAAGAUUCUGCUCUUCUUCAGAAUAUUCACAAGUAAAUGAUUUUCUUGCUUGUAUACAAGACAUUUCAGCCACUUUCAUGGAAGUAACGAAGCUGACCAUUUUAAUUAGGCUCACAAGCAGCUGAAUUGUGUAGGUCGCUCCUCCACUCAGGGGACAUGAUGCCGUCCCACUGUCCCUUCAUUGUGAUGCUGCCGUGGACACGCAUAUUGGGCUGCACUCUUAGGAUGGACACCAAGAUUGGCUUCCUCUCGCCAGCGCUGGGGCUGUGAGGAGCAUGAGGUAUUGCGGCCUCAUGUUGUUAUUGCUAGAGUAAUCUUUGUAAAUUCUAUCUUGACUUUUUGUAAGAAAGGAUUGCUAUUGCAGUGCAAUUGUUCUAGGUGGUGUAGUAUCUUGGCACCUUGUUAGGAUUAACAUGAUAUGCCAUUUAUUGUCUCUCUAAUGAAUACAUACUACAGUACUUGCUCUUUCUAGUGUUAGUUUGGGUUUGCAGACCAUCUAUCCUCAUAAUCUGUUUACAAGAUUGUUGUCUUGAAAAAUAUGGAAUUUUUUUAUGUGAAGAAGCAUUAAUGCAUUUUAGGACUCGACGAGUUGUGUGGCCUUUGAAAAAAUUGGCCUCCUCGCGUGAAUGUGUUGCUUGUUCUUUGUAUUUCUGCAAGACGAAGGUUUGGUAACUGAUCUGAUUGGUAUGUCUAUGAUGUUCUUGUGUUCGUAUAUUCUUCAGUGGAAUAAUUGUUGUAUUAUUCUGACUAGCUCUUACUUUCAGGUGGUUGUCAAAAUACACUAUGGAACAUAAAUACUUGUGAGAUGUAUUAAUUAAUUAGUUGCUUCUUUUUUCAGGUUAUUGUAUACUGCUCUUGCACUCACAAGUUUAUAGAUCUGUGUUUUGUCAGCUAAACGGAUCUAUUGCUAGAAUCUAAGGAAGUUUUUGGACAUUUUAAUAUCUAUCUGAUGAAGUAGCACUCUAGGAUGGAUCUGUUUCUAACUGAAACCAGAUGUUGUAUUUAGUGAUGUUGCAUUUGUAGGACAUAUGGCCAUCCCAUGUAUGUAUGUAUGGACGAUGGAUUGUUGUCCUUUUGGCUAUGAGGUAGUACAGGACUUGUGAACCUACAAAUGUAUUUCUAAUUAUGUAUGUCGUGAUGUAGUAUUGGACCUGUGAACCUACAGAUGUAUAGCUAUGUAUUGUUGAGAUAUGUAUUGUUGUUAUAUAUACGAUACAACCUAAUUACUCUACACGUGUGAAGUUCCAUCUAUACAUUGUAUUCUAAAUUAUGGUACAAAAUCAAGUGGAGAUAAAUGACAGGUUGAACUAGAAGGGGA